rnacentral:lncRNA from 1 species
ACUCUUUCGCUUCUACACUCAUUUUCUGCACAGUUGUGGUUCGUCAACAGCCACGUUCACCAAAAUGAGUCCACUCUCCCCACUUCACUUAUUUCCCCAACGUGUAGGACUCCUAUCAUUAUAAGCAAUAUAAAAAGACCUCCUAAAAAAUUCACCACCUGUUUGGCUAGAGAAACUCCAUUACUCAUUUCCACACUCUCAAUUUUCAGCACUUUCAUCAAAACACAAGCAUUACUUAACCCAUGUUUAGACAUAAUUUAUUUUUCUGAUAUCACAUCAUUCAGGGAAAAAAAAAACAAUUAACUGACUUCAGCACAUAAAUUACAACAAGCUGUUAAUUCACAUAAACAAGUAAAAUUAACUCAAUCAAGUGAAGUAGGCACAAAAUGACCUCAAUGAAUUAUCAAAGGCCUCUAAAAUCAAAUCAAAUUCAGUUGAACAAAGAAUCACUCAUCAAAGAUAAGCAAAAGAAAAAAAAAAGCAAUGAAUAACAGAAAGAAAUUUCUUAUAAAAAUUCAAUAAAAAAAAAUUAGCUAAUCAUCUUUUCUGGUUAAGUGAUUUCGUCAGCAAAUAAGACAAAAUAGAAAUUCUGAAAUAUACCUAGGGUUUCUAGCUUUGGGAAUUUACCUAAUGAGAAAUCAGUCUCACUGUUUCUAGAUUUGUAACUUCAGUAUCAUGGCGGAGCGACCUCGAUCAGCUGAGUAAUCAGAUUUCGCACCGGCGACCAUGCAAAUGUUUGGGUUUGGGUUUGACGAUGGACGAAGGAAUGUUGGGGUUUUGGGUGGGUUAAGGAUUUUAUUUUAUUCAAGCAAAGUGACCAAAUUAACCUUUCAAAAUAAUUAAAGUAUCCCUAGGUUUUUUUUUUUUAUACAUAAAGUAGGGAAAUUUACAGUAAUAACCAAAAAAAUUUCCCUUUUUUUCAUCUUAACCCCCCAAAAAUAUUUCUAUCAACAUUAGCCAUAAAACAACAUUUGAAACCAAAAUACCCCUCCCUCAUCUCUCCCCCAACACUCCCUUUCACUCAUCUCUCCCAAACCGAUCCAACUCCCAUCAUCGGCGGCGACAUCAACCCUUGUCGGCGGCGGCUUCAUCUCUCACCGGCAUCCGAUCUACGAUCUACAACCUUCAACAAAACCUAAGUUAGUCAUUUUUCUUAUUUUCAUUAAUUUAAAAUGAGAUUUUAGAAUAAUAAUAGUUAUAGCUUGAGAUUAAUAGUGGUGGUGAUGAUGUUUGUGGUGGUUGGUGGUGUUUGGGAGUAUUGUUUUCGAUUUUGGAGUGAUUGCGCUUAAUUUUGGGGGUGGGGAGGGAGGGGGGAAGGGCGCGCGCGCGCGCCCAUGCGCGGCACGCUGUCGCACCAGAAUUGGUGCGACAGGCUUGCCCGUCGCACCAGCUUUGGUGCGACCGGCCCUGUCGCACUAAUUUUUUUGGUGCGACAGGCUUGCCCGUCGCACCAAAAAUUAGAUUUUUUUUUUUAACGAGUUAAUUUUUUUUUUUUGUAAAUGUAAUGUAAUAAUUUUAUAAAUAUUACAGAUACAUGGCGAAAUCAGAAUCACCGGAUAUUGAAGUAGGGAAGAUGUAUUUUCGUUAUGCUGAUCACUUUCCUGGUCGAAUUUCGAGCAUGUGUAUGUUAUCUUCGGUCGUAAAAGCCAUCGAGGAAAAAUUAACAAACCGGUAGUUGCGUAUGUUCAAAAAAGAUAUAUUUGGGCAUUUCUUGGAUUGUCGAAGAUUGUCAAAGUUUUCCAUUUAGUGGGGUAAUUUUGCACAAUCUUUUACUGCGGCAAGUGGCCCAUGAAGAAGAUAGUCGUGAGGAUCAGUUAUGGUUUCAAAUUGGUAAGCAUUUGGUUCGCUUGUCAAUUGUCGAAUGGUGCUUGGUUACUGGACUUUCAUUUGGUGUUGAUACCAAUAAAAAAAAUGAUGAAAUGGAGCAGAGGCUACGGAAUACGUAUUUUGGUGGUGUGCAUCGUAAGAUUAAUGUGAAACAAUUCGAUGCAGUAUUUAAGGAGUUGAAAUUCGAGGAAAUGGACGAUAUGGACGCAUUAAAAAUUGCGCUAUUUUAUUUUGCGGACAGAGUACUAAAUGCAAGAAAAAAUCACUGUCAAAUUAAUUUCGAUUGGCUUGACCAAGUUGAUGAUAUACAGUACUUCCGAAAGCGUCCAUGGGGUCUAUUGUCGUGGGAAAUGAUUUACGAGAUUCUUGACAAUGCACUGUUCGAGAAAGAAGAGAAAUUUAAGAAGACUCGGUUGAAAAAUCCAGAUCAUAAUAUUGAAAAAUACAAUCUUUACGGCUUUACGUCUGGUGUUCAGGUGCUAUUUUUUUUUGUUUAUUAAUAAGUUUGAUAGUAUUAAAUAUUUGAUAGUUGUUUUAUUUGAUUUUUCACUUUGGUUGUUGUAGGCUUGGAUUUACGAAGCAAUCGGAGGGUUGCCAUCAACAUGGGUCGUCAAAACGAAGAAUAAGAUUCCCCGCAUUCUGCAAUGGAAGCCUAUGGCGUCUUCGAGAAUCAACUUUGCGGAGGUUUAUUCGUUCUUCAACGACGAUUCUCGUCUUGUAAGUAAUAUGUAUUACUUAUUUUUUUAACUUUACUAAAUUUAAGUUAUGUAUACUUACUUAAAAUUUUAAAUUGAAUUUAUGGAAGGGGGACGUUUUACAAACUCUUGAGCCAAAUUCAAAGGAGAGUAGCAGAAUAUAUUGGCUCUCUGUGAAGGACUACUUGCCAAGCAUUCCAGACUGGGUUCAUAAGGUUGGUAUACUCUAAGCACUAAAAAUUUGUUAAUCGAAAUUUUUGACUUUUCAUUUACUAAUUUUAAAUAAUACUUUAUACAGCACCAACCCUCAAUCAACGCGAUGCCGUCGGUUACACUGCAAUCAGACGAGCAUGACGAUCAUGACGACAUACCAAACCCAAUACCAGAGCAGCGUCAUGACACUUUUGAGGAUGAGGUGGCUGUUGAUGACCACCAGCAGCAAACAGACAACUCUGAUGACGCACGGGAUUCUGAGGUUAGAAAUAAUAUACGAUAUUUUUCUUUUAUAAAUUAUUAUUUUUUUAUUGUUAUUCUAAAGUUUUAUUUUUUUCUUUUGUAAUAGUCGAGGACAAAGCAGUUUAAUGAUUACGUACGACGACGGCUGGAUAAGAUUGAUCGUAACGUGUAUGAAAUAAAGUCAGAAUUAAAAGAUUUUAAAGAAACCGUUGUUGGCUUCAUCGACACAUUUUCUAAACGUCCAAAUAAGGAUUCUCCCACUGCACGCUCGUAUGCGGUAAGCUAAUUUAAAUUUCAUAAUUAUGUUCGUUUAACUUUUAAUUUGAUAGUUAUUUAAUAUGUUUUUUUUGGCGAAUGUACAGGCCCCGGAUGACGUUGGAGUGUAUACUGACGUGGGCAAUGAAAAUUUGUCUACGCCCACGUCAUUGUAUAGUUUCUACGGGGAUGUAAGUGGGGAGAGCGUGCAUGUGUUCACAGAGGUGCCUCCGGGCGUUAGUAAGUUCGGUCGCGCGUACAUACCGUCGUAUGUUUAUAACAGUCCUUACAUGAUUCCUCCGGUCAGGCGAGGACAGAACGUGCGGCCUUUACCUCGACCCCAAAUCAUGGAGCAUGCGAUUGACAUGAGUACGAGUGUGGAUGUAAAUCCACUGCGAGGAUUGGAGGACUCUAGUCUGUUUGCUGAGUUUGAUCGAUGGAUCACUGGUGAUAGCAGAGUCCGCCGGAGAGUUCAGCACCCGCGGUCAUUCUUUCAAAUAUUUUUGGGGACAGCUUCGAUGGGAUGGCUAGGCGAUGAGGUAUUUAUAAUUUCCUCGUGGUGUAUACUGUUGUUGAUUUGUGUAUAAAUUUUUUUUUAAAAACUCGUAAUAUUUCUGUUUCUCUACAGCAUAUUCACGAGUAUCUCCGCUUGAUUAGCGAGAAACAACGGCAGUAUCCAAAUGCCUUACUCCAACGUGUCACACAAACUGAAAUUAUAAAAAGCUUUGGACAUUCUAAACUGAGACUUAAUGUUACCUUUGACGUGGUAAAAACAAACGCCAUGAGUUGCAUUGUGAAAUACUUUAAGAACGGCUCUCCUUAUGGCAGUGCAUCGAUCAGAGAUAAUUACCAACUCAGGUCUAUCGCUAAUCACUCCGUGUAACUUCAUCAUAAACCAUUCCCAAGCAUCGUUGUUUUCUGAAUCCAUGAUCCCAAUGGCUAACGGAUACAAUUGAUUGUUACCAUCAAGACAUGUUGCCACGAACAUGCUUCCACGAUAUAGUCCCUUCAGAUGAGUACCAUCUACAGCAAUGACAGGCCGAAUGUACUGCAUAAAACCCUUGAUGGAAGAUCCGAGUGCUACAAAAUAGUACAAGAAAUUACCAUCUCCAUCCUGCUCGAGGUGAAUGACUGUACCCUCAUUCGCUGUAGUUAGAACGUGAGAGUAUUUAGGGAGCAAGUUGUAUGACUCUGCAGGGUUGCCUCGAACUAUUUCAAGACCAACUUCUCUCGCCCGAUAUGCCUGCUGGUAUGUUAACUGAACACCGUAUUCUUGUUGCAUAUCUGCUCUUAUGUCAUUCGGAGUAUAAAUCCUCUUGUAUUGAAUAUAUUUUUCUGCGAUAAUAUGACCGACAACCCGGCUCCUUACUUGAUGACGUCCAUCAACCAAUACCUCAUUAUGACAAGUGUGUACAUUGUCAAUUCUCUUCACCACCCAAGGAACAUUUUGCUCGUUCGAACAUCUAGUUGCUCGAAUACGCCAUUUACAUGAUUCUGAACAACAGUGAGCCUCGAAACGUGUCGUAGUAGACCGUGCAAUCUUGAAAUCAAACUUAUCUCUAAAGGCAACCUUGCGUAGUUGUAAUAUAAACUCAUUUUUCUCAGCAAAUAGCUUACCCACACUGAUAUCAUCUGAAUCACAACUGCUAACAAAGCUUGGAGCAACCAUGUUCGAAGGCAAAGUUGGAGCAACACUUGUAAGGGGGUCAAUUCGCCUUCUCGAUCGAACCAUAGAAGGAAUAGGUCUAUUGCCUCUGUUAUUCACAGGAGUAUUGUCUUCACACUCAUCCUCAUGUUGAAACGACGGAAUAUUCGAAGGACCGGCUCCUCCAUCAUCACCAUCAUUAUUGAAACGAGUGCCCUCCCUCGUAUUAUUAGAAGGUUCUGCACAAACAUUAUCCCCCUCUGUCUCAUUAUGAAAAUCAUCAUUGUCCCGAAAAUCAUUGUUGUGAUACGGAGAAUAUCGUUGCUCCAACGACGUUGUUAUUGGAAAUACCGUUGCUCCAACAUCCUGUAAUGUAACGCCAUUAUCAUCAAUGUUGUCAUAAUUGUCGUGGAUUGGAGAGUAAUAUUGCUGCAACGAUAUUGUCCUUUGCAACACCUCUUCAUCAUUAUCGGGGCCAGACAUAUUUGCUCUAAACGAAGUUUCUGUAUCGACAUGUGGCUCAAUACCUUCGCUCGGAACUCGAGGUGAUGUGGUCACGAAUAUAGGAAUGCAUCCAAAAUUAGCUACGUCAGAUGCCAUAUGCAACACAACCCUCACCAUUUCAUCAUCGCAUAUAUCCAUGGGCAUUGCACAUAUACGAUAUAAUGUGUUACUAGACCUCAAAGUUGUCUUCAUGAUGAUACUAUAGUCAUUAGGGUUUAUUUGUAACACCUCGUAUACUCUUGCCAAUAACUGAUCAAACAGAUAAUUUUUUCCAACCAAAAAAGCUCGAUUUUUACCAUUCACGUACUCCAUACAGCUAUUCUCUAAUGUCUCCCACCAACUAUCGUAACACAAUUCAAGUACAACUGAAUCCAUUAAGCCUGAAAUUAUAAAAAUAAAUUUAUUUCAGCCAUAUUAAAAUAAUACACAAUUUUAAUGAUGUAUUUAAUGGUGGGUGCGACAGGCAACCUGUCGCCCGAAUCUUGGUGUGACAGGAGUUUUGCUGCGACAGGCAGCCUGUCGCCAGAUUCAGAUUCACCCGAUUCAGUUCAAUAAGUUCAGAAAAUAACUCAUAUCACUAAGUGAUGUCGAUUUGUGUUGGAUCCGGAUAGAUUAUGAUCGGAUAUCACUUUUAUCGUUGUCUUUUACGGUCGCCGUUGGUUGAUGAUUCAAGAGUGAAAAACUGUUUUUGGUUUGGCGAUAUGGGAGAAACGAUGUUGGUUUUGUUCUGUAAAGAAGGGUAAUUUGGGAAGAAAGGCUUGUGUUUGGCUAAUGUUGAUAGAAAAAAAUUGAGAUAGUUAAUUGCGAAAAUAAUAAAAUAUUAAUGGUUAUUUUCGUAAAUUUCCCCAUAAAGUAUCCCUAGGUUGUUACACGUUUAAUGUCCAGAAUAGUUAAAUUAAAUUUCUGCUCGUGUAUUUAUGGCACACGUGAGUUCGUGUGGAGAAAAACGAAAACGGGAUAAAAGGAAAAUUCGACGCAAAAUUUUAUUAGGAUGCAUACGUAAGUACCCUAUCGAAUAUGCCUUAAAACAACUGUCUUUUUUCCUGGGACAAUCAUAUUAUAUAUAACAAAUAAUACAGCAAAAGAAUAGAAGUACAAGUAGAAAGGCGGCAUCUAGGUUGUCUGCUACUCGGCUUCUAGUUUCACCCAAGAAACAUCUUCGUUCCGGUAACCAAGCACAGACUCUGUUACUGCUAUAACUAAUAUAUCACAUGACCAUAAUUUCCAGAACACCUUGCGCUUGUCCAAUGGGUUGUUCAACUUGAGAAGGAGCUAGCAGAUGUGCGUUGACAGAGGUGACAAUGAAGACAGCGAGACGUCGAAGCCAGUAGAGGAAUUGCUGACACAGAGAAGCUAACAUUGCACAACAGAGUGAUAAGAUUAUGAGGCAAAAAUAGGCUACCAAGAACAGAGACGGAGCCAAAAUGACAGAGGCAACUGCUGAGACAGCCAACAGAACAGAGAGUUCUCCACAGCUCAUGGAAAUGGGUCGGCUCACUUUGAGAGGAACUCUGAUGGGUGUGAGGAGGAAGAGCAGUAAUGGGAUGACGACGACAGGAAUCAGGAACCAGAACUGAGGCUUUAAAAUUGGAUACAGAAGUAUCUUACUUGUACCAUCUUGGACGUUCCAAGAGUUGCCAUCCUGAGACUUGAGGAACAGAAAAAAGAUUAUAAGAUUCAGCAAUGGAAGAAAUAGAAACCUCAAAUCGAUUGAUAAGUCCAUGCCUGUGAAUAAGAUUUGGCAGAGAUGAUUGAGUUUAAUUAUUAUGAAUAAGAUUUGGCAAUGGCGGAGUUGAAUGAAUAUGCUGGAGUUGAAGCUCCGUGAUACUACGAGGAAAUACUUAUAGGGCUAAUUUGAGGGUAAGAAACAAAGCAAGUCAAAAGGAUUCCGUGCCGUCCUCUGUAGAUCGUUAAGACAACAUGUCCUCUUUCCUUAGAGAAAUUUAUAAGUUUGGUAUCUUUCUCAUUUUACUAAGUUAAUAAUUUAAUUAUUUUUAUUCAUUUUACUAUUUCAGAAAUUGUAAAAUAAUAAAUUGGUGCGGGAAGUAUUAGGAUAUAACAUUUUACACCAUAAUACUUCAGGAAUUGUAAAUCAAACCUAAUUAGCUUAUACGUCCACUGUUCCUUUUCUCAGCACAAUUUCUGCAUUGUUUAGAAUGUAUCUGGACUAGUUUGAAUGUGCAAUUCAGUGCACAAAUGACAAAGCCAAUAGAUAAGAAAAGCAAAAGACCCUCCUUUUUCUUACACUAGAUAACAAACAACAACAUAUUUACGUGGGGAAUACGCCCCACUCCCACUUCCUCUACUUUCAUUUUUUUUGGCACUUUUAAUCAUCUAUUGAUUAGCAGUGUAUAAGCAUAUAUAAUUAAUGCAUGGCGUAAUGGCGCCAAGCAAGCAUGUCACAUUUUAGAUGCUAUAUAUAGUAUAUACUACACCAUGAUUAAGAUUCUCUUCUAAUUUCUUAUCUAAGUUUUUAUCUUAAAAAAUAUAGAUGAGUGAUUUGUUGUAGAAAUUUCAUGGUAAAAACUAUAAAUUAAUUAAAAUAUCUCGUUGUUUGUAUAUACCAAUAUAGGAAAUUAAUUUUGAGAAUCGGCGCUCUCUCUAGUUUUCAAUUAAUUACUGAGUUUAAAUUUUUCCACUUGCUUCUUGUUUAAUAAUGCAUGCAUGUAUAUGUAUAUUGAUAUAAUAAUGCACGUAACACAUAUAUCAUGAUCCGAUGGAUAUGAUUCAAAAUGAUUAAACUACCAAGCCCAUUGAAAUUGUUGAUGCGAAAAUAUGAGAUGAGUGGUGUGCAAUUGACAACUACUUGAGUUGGAUUGUAGCCUAUCAACAGUUGUUUUUUUAAUGGAAGUGUCUCUUUUACAAAAGCCGAAGCAAUUGAACGGGGAAUAUAGGAGACAAUAAAUUAAUGUACGCCUAUCGGUAGUCAUUUUUUAAUUUAUUGACUUGGCAAACUCGACAGUCCUUUUUUCUUACAUUUAUAUAAGUUCAUCAGAUUAACUCGACUCAUAACCUAGCUCAAAUACUGAGGAUUAUCUCGAACUUAUAUUAUUAAUCUAAUAACUCGGUGAAUGUAUGAUAAUGUCUUCAAUAAGAAUCCCAUAAAACGGUGUCGGUAGGCGACGAUACAUGUAAUGGUAAGCAAUCUGUGUGGCUGAAUCCAGUACCGUCGCCUUAAGGUUGGCUCAAAUUAAAUGUUGAUGCUGCAAUGAAUCUGACGGCCGGGAUAGCCGGACUUAGAAGACAACUCUCUGAUUAGGUUCUAAGCCUAUUCCCUUCUUGGGCUUCUGUGCGUCUUCAAACUAGUGUAAUGAUAUUAACACCCCUUCACUAUCCUCAUUGCACCCUUUUUUUGGAAAUUACAAUUUUAGACAAUCAUACAAUUCUAAUUAAACUCAUUUAUUGUUUCUCUCUCUUCUAAAACUCUGUUUGGUACAACUUGUUAAAUAAAGCUUAUAAGAGUAGAGUUUAUACCAAUAGAGCUUUUGGACAAAAAGUCAUUGGGUGUUUGGUUGUUAAUUAAAAAAGCAUUUUUGAACCAUUAAACUGUUUGGUUGUGUAAAACUAAAAGUGUUUUUGUGUAAUUAAAUUACUAAAAAGAAUAUGUACUCAUAAUGAUAUAACAUGUAACAAAAUGCAUCCAAACUAUCAAUUAAUAAGAAAAAAUCAGUUCAAACAUUUCUUUAAUUUUCAAAAUUAAAAAUUACAUCAUUGAUAUAUUCUCCCAAACAAAUAAUAAUAUCUAAAUUAAAAUGAUAAUCAAUAAUAUAACUGAAAUGCUAACGGAACAUGAGAAGUGUCUCAAUUUGAUCACGUUCUUGGUCUAUUUCACGUACGUUGAAUGAACUUGUACUUUAUUAUUCAUUGUUCUCUUCCCUUUGAUUCUCACUUUCACUUGUUGGAAGCAAUUCGUCAUCAUUAUCAAAAGGUUGAAAUUCUUGGUCAUUAUUUGCAUAUUUUCUUAUAAAAUUGUGAAGAACUAUUGAAUCAAUCACAAUUUUCACUUGCUUACUAAAAGGGAAACUAGGCAUUUGUCACAAAAUUUUCCAUCUAUUUUUCCAAACACCAAAAGUUAUCUCAAUUGUGCAUCUCAAAGAAGAGUGGGCAUGAUUAAUUUUUUUUUCCUCUUGGUUAUUAAAUUAAAGUGUUGGUUAUUUAAGAGAGAGAGAGAGAGAGAGAGAGAGAGAGAGAGAGUGAAGUGGCAGCAACAAUUUUCGUUGGGUAGAUUUUAUACAAAGGGUAUUAUGUAAUUAAUAAAAUAUGUCAAGGAUAUUUUUGAUAUUAUAUAUUUUUUAGAAAAGCUCUCUAACCUCUACUCCCAAAAGCUCAAAUUUUGGGUUUUUGCUAGUAGAGGUAAAUUAGCUUAUUUAAGGUAAAAAAAACUAUACUAAAAAAAUAACCAAACACUAUAAAAAAAUUUAAAAAGUGCUUAUGGGAUUAAAUAAGUACUCAUGGCUUUUAAAUAAGGCAUACCAAACAGGCACUAAGAAACCCACAUAUUCUAUUACUUAUUUUAUCUGCAAAGUCCUUCAUUACAUCAACAUGUCAUUUUCUUUUCUUUUUAAUGUUUGUGACUCGUCAUCUAUCCGAUAUUUUGUCGAAAUAACCUUUGUUUCUUUUCUUUUCUUACAAAUUUAUUAUUCUCAUGUUUUUUCAAAAAAUAUUUAUUCUCAUACUUAAAGAGCACUUUUAAACUAAGGAAAAUUCAAAUAUAUUUAUUUUAGAUCAGAGUGAUCACUCCAUUUUAUUUUAGGAGUGAGAAAACCCAAAAAAAAAAAAAAAACCAACAACAACAAACAAACAGACGAAAUAGGGUUUAAGAAUAAAAGUGUAUUUUUAGUAUUAAAACUAGUAAAAUUGGAAAUGGUUUCAUCAGGAAUUUAAAAGGGUGGUAGAAGCUCCACUCUUAAAACUAGUUGUUUUUCAUUGGUUAUGGACCUUUUCGUCUUCUUCCGAGGCUGCUUGUAAUUUUCUUUCAUGCCGGGUUUAACCAAUUGUAAUAAAAUGAAAUGCCAUUCAAGAUAGUGAGAUUUCAAUGCGAUCCCACAUCUACAAACAUACAUCAAAAUUGAUUAACAUAUUAUUUAUUACAACUAGACAAUGGAUUAGAUUAAGGUAUUUUCAAAUGAGUAGACACAUUUCAAAUUUUUUUAUCUCGAAAAAUUAUCUUAAAUGAUGUGAUAUUUAUUAAUUAGUUAGUAAAACAAACAAUCAAUUCACUUAGAUCUUAUAAACAUUUACUAACCACUCAAUAAAUACUACAUCAUUGGAAUGAAAUUUUGUAUAAAAAAUUUGGGAUGCCUAUCAUUACUCUUUUUAAAUAUGAAAAAAAAUAUGAUUGUACACAAAAGAUAAAUAAACAAGUGAUACACAAAAGAUAUACGAAUGAAUGAUUCGUGCUCCAACAAAAUGGAUGCAUAUAACAAAUUAGAACUAAUCAGGAGAUAAAACUCUCUAAUUAUCCUUCAUCUUCAGAUUUGUUCCAGUGGUACAUGAAUAGUAGUGUUGAGAAAGGAACAUACCAAAAAUAAACUACAAUAAUGCGUAAUUAAGCUACAUUUUUUUCUCUAUCAGCGUGAUCAAAAUGAGAGUAUGUACAACAACAUAACUAUAGGAACUAAGUGGUAUUAUUAUUAUGCAAAUAUGCUUUCCAUGGCAAUAUAAAUAUACUCUCCAUGACAAUAUCACUAGUCGCAUGACCAAAAAUACCGUCAUUCACAAUAACCUCUCAGAGCCCGUUCAGAAGAAAUCAUUCAGUGUGGAGAUAUGAGACAUGAAGCAAUCAAAAGUCUCUAACAAUAUAAAUAUGCUUAGUCAUCAAUUUACCCCUUACUUACCCCCUUACUUACCAACUAACAUUUUUUCUUUUUUUAGUUUGGAGAUUAAUAAAGAAGAAAGAAUCUUGAAAACUCCUUCAUUUGCUACGAAACGCGAACUGUUUUCACCUAUACGAGAGAGACUUGAUCUUCUCUUUUAUCUCCAAAAUUACAACGAUUCAUUUCUUUAAUUUGCCUAGUAACAAAAAAAAAAGAGGUAGAACGUCAUCAUACUGCCCAGGAACCUUACUAGCUUUCUUUCCUUGCCCAAAAGGAAAAAUAUUAUUCUCCAUUAACAAACAGCUACAAAGCUUGGAACAUCCCGAAACAUUGUUCUCCAUUUCCCCAUCUUUUUAUUAUUCAUGCUAACAUUGCACUCUAAUUGAGAUAAAUGCAUGUAUCCGCACCUAUAUAAAUUGAGGAGACAAAUUAAAAUUUCCCAGGCAUGAUGAACCAAUUAUCCACAGGUACAAUUAAAGUUUCAAAUGGACAUAUUUAUGUAAUUCCUAAAGCCUACCAAGCUUCUUAGUUAAUCUGCUCAAAAUAGAAUAUUCUAUAGCCACAUUUUGAUAAAUUGGGGUUGUUCAAGUCCUAUAUUCUUUGAAAGCUUAUUCUUGGAAUUGGUUGCUGAGUUUCCAAUUAUUAAUUGAACUAUAGUGAUUAAUACACACACAUAUUUAUGAUUAAGGUACAGUCAGAUGUAAUCUUUCGUUUACUAAUAAACUACAACAUGUUUCUUUUGCUAGCUCGCUAGUUGGUUUUUAAACAUAUAUAUGAAUUAUCUAACAGUAUAUAACAAUACGCAUAAUCCAGGUUAAACUAGAUUAAAUUAAACCGAAGAAUUAUGAAGCUUAAAAGUCACAAAGUAGGCUUUUCUAUUACAGUACUGCAAAGAAUGCAAAUUCAAUUUAACUUCUCAGAUCUCGUAAAGCUAUAUCAUUGGACCUUAAUAAAUAACCGAAGAAGGAAUUAUAAGAACCCAUAGAUGUAUUAAGUACUUCUCCCCCGAAAGCUUAUAUUAAUGGAACAAAGCAACUUGAGACACUUCCCAAUAAGCCAAUAGAGGAACAAAUCCACAAGUCAACAAGAUUUUCCUUUUUCAUGAAUUAAUAGGUCUACCAUUACUCAACAUGCAUUAUAAAUCAUCCAAAAACUAGGAUAAGUAUGGAAAGAAAAAAGAGUGUGUGUGUGUGAGAGAGAGAGAGAGUUAAAAGGAAUCUCCAUUCAAAAAAGGAAAAAGGGAGAAAAUAUCGAUCAAACCUCUUCUUCAGGUGAUUUCAAAUUAAAGGGGGGGCAUUGGCUUUUGAUCUAAAGAUGACUCCAUGGAUAAUUAAUUUACUGAAACACCAAGGGGCAUUGGCUUUUGAUCUAAAGAUGACUCCAUGGAUAAUUAAUUUACUGAAACACCAACACACUAUUUGAAUAUUUAUUUAUUUAUUUUUGGUUAUGUAAGAAUUAUUUUCAAUAAAAGAACUCGAAUUCGGGAAGAGAAAGCCAGGAGACACAGAUAAGAGAGUGACUUACAGUCCUGAUGUGCAAUAUGGUCCAAUUCUUCUCAAUGAAGAAAACGUACGACUCUUGUUAUCUUCAAGAAUUAUGGACCAACUUAAACGUGUUAACUGUCACAUGCAUGUGGAACCCUUUUUUUUUUUUUUAUAUAUAACUCUGUUAUGCCAAUGAUAUUAUAAAUUAAUAAUUUGCUAAACUAUUAAUGUAAUUGUUAUGAUAAUUUAUUUAAUAAAUAUGGCAAUAUUAUUUUUUUUGAAACUUAAAUAUAGUUGAAUUCCUUAUUUAAUUUUCUUAUUGCAUCAGUUUUGGGAUUUGAACUUUCAAAGUAAAAAUUUUGAAUUUAUUUGUUGAAUAAUUCAAUACAGAUUUAGUCGAUUAAUCCAUAUUUAAUGGAAUAGAUUGGUAAAAUAUAAUGGAUUUCUAGUUAAUUAAAUACAUGUUUAUUGACUUGCAAAUACAUCAAUUAACUAAUAUUUUUUUUAAUUAAUAGAUUUUAUAUGUUUCAACACGUUUUACUGCGUUACUGACUGUCGCUAGGGUGGUGGAUAAAAAUGAAAAACAGAAAAAAAAACUGACGCAAAAUUUUAUUAAUAUACCGGUCUCCAUAUCAUAGCCAAUUAAAACAACCGCUGCUUUCUUGGAAAAUCAUAAAUAUUGCAUUUUAAGAAAUAAGUAAAUAAAUAUUGAAAGAAGUAAAAGAAAGCAGACAGUGUCUAUCAUCGUUUCGUUUUGCUUCUAGAAAGGUGCUUUUCAACUCUUUUCUUCAAAUCAAGCCGAAAUAGUAACUGACCACAACUGCGAAAUAGAAACCUUUCCUUUUUUUCUUUUUUCUUUUUUCUUUUUUGUUGUUUGUUGUUUGUAUUCCACGUUGUCGUUAUUACCUUAACUAUGAAAAGGAAAGAUAACAUGAAACUGACAAUUCAAUAUUUUGUUGCCCUAAUAGAUACUAGGAGCUUUGCAGUGGCACCAGCUAAACGGAAUAUUUAAUAUCAAAUGACGACCACAGCUUCCAGAUUAUCUUCAGACUUUGAACUUGGCUGCAGGUAAUUUUGAAUCUUGUUAGUUUACUGCUAUUAAAAUGUUACACAAGAAAAUAAAAUACGCAAACAGGUUGUGGUUACGUACCUUAUUUAUUAUUAUAGUCGAUUAAUGUUCACUUCAACUUGGGGAGGAGCUGGGUUGACAGUACAGGUGAUGAAGAUAGUUGGAAUGGAUGUUAUUACGGUGCUCGUGAGACGUAGAAACCAGUCGAAGCAGCGCUUACACGGAGAGGCUAACACUGAAUAACAGAGUGAUAAGAUUAUGAGACACAAAUACGCCACCAAGAAAAGAGAUGGAGCCAAAAUGAGAGAGGCAAGUGUUGAUAUUGCCAAGAGAACGGAUAGUUUUCCACAGCGUACAGAAAGUUGGCGACGGAUCCUGAGGUGGAGUUUGACGGAUAUGAAGAGAUAGAUCAAUAGUAACAGCAGGACAAGAAUCUGAGAGAAGAAGGGGAGCUUCAAAAUGGGAUAUAACAUAAUCUCACUGGUACCAUCCUGGACGGCCCAAGAAUUGCCAUCUUGAGAUUUCAGGAACAUAAAGAAGAUUAUAAGAUUUAGUAAUGGCAGAAAUAAAUACCUCAAAUCAAUAGAAAAUUUCAUGCUUAUGGUGAUGCUCAAGUUUUCUAGGGGAGGAUGUAUUUAAUUUACAAAAAUGCUAAAUGUCAAGAGAAGAAUGAGAGAAAGGUGAGAGAAGAAGGCAUGUGCUGAGAGAAGAGAUAGAGAGAUAAGCAAAACGGCAGACUCACUUUUCUCUCCUUCUUCAAUUUAUAGUGAGCUUUUUAUGUCAUGAAAAAUUGGAAAUUGGGUGGCAAAUUCUUUUGACCAGUUGCACAUGCUGUCCUGUUGAUUGGCUGGUUUUUGGAAACUCGAUCAUCACCGUUUGUUCAAGCAAAGACCCAAAUGGUGAACUAAUGGUGAUGAUCGAGUUCAAAAAGAGAGAAAAAGAAGGAAAGUAAACAGUGAUGUCUUCAAACUUUUUUUUCCCCUUGAGAAAAAGUCUUUUAAUACAGUUCUUGUCUUUUUCCACAUAUUGGUAUUAUUUCUCAGUAUUUGCUUAAUUUACUGCAAUAAUUUUUCAAAAAGUGUUCAAUGAUAAUGAAUUUUCAACCAUUAUCCUAUACGAAUCAUUAAAUUAUAAAUACUGAUGUUAAUCAAAUAUCAAGUAGAAUUUGUUUUUAAUAGAUCAAUUAGUUAAAGCACAUUUGGUACACUAUUUAGAACUUAUUUUUAUCUAAAAAUUGAUAAUAGGACCAAAUUAAGUAAAUUGUAUUACUCAUGCCACUGAUACAACAAAUAAAUAAUGUAAUAUUAUCUCUUCAUGUAUUUUGAAAAAGUAACAUGCAAGUAGUAUUUAUAUUAAAUUAUAUUUCUCAUGUCACAUAUUCAAUAAUUUAUUAUAUUACCUCUAGAUUUUCUCAUUCUCAAUAUAUGCUUAAUUGUAAUAAUUUUUUAACAAUUGUUCAAAGAUAGCUUUGCUCCGGCUGUGUGUGUGAUUGACAAAUAUAUUAUUAAAUUGUACAACAACGAAAAAGACAUAAGUUGAAAUUGUUUCAACGACGUCAAAUGUUGACCAUAUCAUUUUUUGGGCUUUCUCUCAUGGGCUAUUUCUUUCUUUCUUUCUUUCUUUUUUUUUUUUUUUUUUGAUAAAUCUUAUGUGCUAUUAUUCAUUAGUGCUUUUAUUUAUAUUUUUAGUUAGUCAAUCUACUUUUAUUGAACUGGGAAACAAAUUGUAGUGUAAGGAAUAAAUUUAUGUUUAAAAAAAUCAAAAUAAAAAAUGAUAAUAAAGAAUAAAUUUAUAUUAAAAAAUCAAAAUCAAAAUAUGGAUGGAUAAGAUUUGGCAGAGAUGAUUGAGUUUAAUUAUUAUGAAUAAGAUUUGACUAUGGUAUAGUUGAAUAAUUGUGGUGGAGUUUAAGCUCCAUGAUACCAUGAUGAAAUAAAUAUUUACAGUACCCUUUAUAAAAUUUUGGUUGCCUCUGUUUAACUUAACCCAUGCCCAGUUUUAACUUAACCCAUGCCCAGUUAAUUUAACUCUUUGUGAUUUACUCUAAUAAAUGUUUUUAAUUUAACUCUUUUUGAUUUAAAUCAAAAAGAUUAAACCUCAACAAGCGUUUGCCCGUAGACUGUAGCUCCUCAUAAGUGACUUAACAAGUGUUUUGUGAAUGAAAAACUAUGUAAUAAAAAAGAAAGGAGAAAAACUAACUACUAUACAAUACAAGUGACUAAGGGUGCGUUUGAGAUUGAGGUUGGGCAGCUGUAGCUUAAAAGCUACAGCACUAAAGUGUUUGGUAAACACUAGCUGCUGUAGCUUUUAAGUUAUAUUGAUAUAAUUUUUCACUUGUAUAAUAAAAAAUUUAUUAUAUCUUUAAUAAUUUUAAUAAAAUUAUUAUUUACAAUUUAUAUUUACUAUAUAUUAUUAACUUUUAUUUCAUAAUUACAGCUUUUUUUUCACAGCAGCUGUAGCUUAAAAGCUACAGCACCUCAAUCCCAAACGCACCCUAAAACAACAACGUCAAAAUUUGUCUUGACUUUAUGAGCAGGGAUUACCUCUGAUGUGAUAUUAUUGAAUAUAAAUAUAAAAAUUGCACUUAAUUUUCUAGUGGCUAGGCAAAGAUAUUCUCGAAUUUGUGGAUGAAGGUUGAGGUCACCUCUUAGCUUAUAUGUUAUGUGAAUUUUGUGUUCUAAUCACUAAUUUGUCUUGACUUUGUGGUCCCCCACCAUUUCACAGUUCACACGCUUGGGCAUGUCCAGUGCUAUCAUUUUUAAUUUCCCAAUGGCACGGCCUUGAGUUUUGAUUUAUUUAUUUUCUCCCCUUUUUUUGUUUUCUUGAUUUUCUUUCUCUCUGCCGGGACUGGGGAGCUUGAGCUUUAAUUAGAUUUAUAGUCUAUAAUUUACGGCAUUCACAAAUGUGACACAUUGCAAAUGUUUGAAUUAACAUUUGAGAAUAUAAUACGUCACAUCUGUGAAAUGUCUGAAUUGACAUUGGAGAAUAUAACAAAAGCCGAGUCCCGCAUUUGUGAAUUCAGACAUUUCAAUCGGGGUCGCCUUCAACCACGUGGCAGCCGAUGGAAGAGGUUUCAAUCAUUUUGUGAAUCUUGGCCCUUGGGCGUCCCGCGUCCAUGUCCCGACAAAGGGCCAAGAUUUAAUAAUCAGCUGAUCCCUACUAUGAAUCAGCUGAUUUAAUAAUCAUCUGAUGGGUGUUAGGAGGAAAAGCAGUAAUGGCGUGAUGACGGCAGGAAUCACGAACCACAAAUGAAGCUUUAAAAUUGGAUACAAAAGUAUCUUACUUGUACCAUCUUGGACGUCCCAAGAGUUGCCAUCCUGAGACUUGAGGAACAUAAAGAAGAUUAUAAGAUUUAGCAAUGGUGGAAAUAAAAACCUCAAAUUAAUUGAAAAACUCAUGCUUGUGAGUAUAAGAUUUGGCAGAGAUGAUUGAGUUUAAGCUAAAACUAGAGAGCCCUGAGGAAAUUUUUAUAGUCAAUAUUGAUGCAUGGAAUGCAAUAUGUGGUGAUUGAUGGAACAUCAAAGUAUUUGUGGGCACCAAGUGUCAAGUGUGCAGCCUACAGCUGGGCCACAUUGAGAUUGAAAAAAACUAAAGUUGGGAGAAAAAGAACUGACUUGAGAAAAGGUGUUGCAAAGCCAAAAAGAGGAUGUGGAAACAAAAAUGGAUUUGAGAUACAAAAGUAUCUCACAUUGCAGACCUAGCUAGUUGCAGACAAAAAAUGGAAAGAAAAGCCACAUCUGUGAAAUGUCUGAAUUAACAUUUGAGAAUUAACCUACUAUUCUUGGUUAUUCAAAAGAGAUUUAAUCAUUUUGUGAAAUCUUCUGGUCGUCAAGCAUAGAAAUAAACCGCGGAUUAGUAUCCUUUAUUCGCACUAUCUUGGUAGACGUCAAGAAGACGCAAGCUAACACAGGGCAUCUUAUUCUACAACAUUAUUUAUAGUAUCAAAAUAAUUGUUAUUAGUUGGGGGCGCAUUUUUAUUGGAUAAAAUUGUGACAUUUUCUUAUACAAUAAAACCCAAGGCGCACCGCAUUUUGAAAUCAAAGUAAUUGUUAUUAGUUUUCUAUUUAUAACAUUUUAUCCAAACUUGGUUAUUCAUAAUUACUUUUAAUACGAUGUAGAACAGCAGAAGUUAGACCAAAUUAUCUUUAAUAAAUGUAUGAAACUAUGAACUAAUCGUAAGACAUUUACUAAUAAAACCAAAAUAGAUAGGCGUUUUCAAAUUGAUUUUGUUUUAUUAGCAGAUUGCCCGCACUUGUCUUCUUUGAUUCCACUUCUUUACAUCCGUUGGAUUAAAGUUUUGAUUUAUUUAUUUUCUUUCUUUCUCUCUGCUGAUAAAGUUGUUGGUUGAAGAUGCCAGGAGCUUUGAGUUUGAAGAGGAUUUAUACAGCUUCGAGGUUGUGUAUGCAAUUAAAAUAAAGAUACACUACAUGUUCUGUCUAUCUAUCUAUCUUUUUAUUUCCUAAUUGUCUAUCUAUUUAUCUUUUCAUUAAGGAAUUGCUUAUCGAUAAAAUUCUCAGGUAAAAGAGACGAUUGUUUACGGAGAAAAAAGAGAAUGGAUGGAAUCAUAUUCAUAUGCAUUAGAUUCGUAUAUAGCUAUUGUAAUCAACAUCACGUUAGUUUCGUUUGACUCUACGAAAGCCCUCCCAAUUAAAUAGAAAUUACUCAAAACUCAAUUAAAUAGAAAUUACUUUGAUUUGUCAAACAAUUAUUUAGUCUCCUGUCCAGUUGAAAAGUCAAGAACACUAUGUAAGCAUAUAAUCAUCCCACCACAAUCAUAAUCCUUAAGCGCGUGUAGAGAAAAAAUAUAUAAAAGUCUUUGACUUUGAAAUUAUGAACAUAUUGUUUCUUUUAUUAUUACAAACAUGAUUCUAAAGAUUUAAAAUUUUUUCACAAUCUUGGCAAUCUUAAUUUGGUGCAGACUUUUAUUAUUUAUAAUGUAUGAUUAAGAUGUAAUUAUUUGUAUAUUGUUAUCUACUGAUUUGUUAAAACAAAUUUAUAUAAUAGAGAUUUUAACAUUUCUUUAGAGAUUUAUUAAUUGAUGAUUGAUAAAAAUAAGAAUCAUAAACUAAUAAUCUAAAUCAUGCAUGAUUAAUAAUAUAUAAUAUCACAAAAUUGUUAAAUGGAAAGUAAAAUCUAUAAACAAAAGUUGUAGAUUUUGAGGUAGCUUUUAUUAUUUUAUUUAAAAUCUGAAUGAAUCUGAAUAUUUCUCAAAUUUGAAUACCAAUGUUUGAAAGAUAUAUUCGUUUUUCUUUUUCUAACAUUUGAAUAUAAGUGACAUUUUAUUUUUUUUAUAAAUAAAAAAUAUUUUCAACAUAAUUAAUUGACAUUUACGUCAUUAUAAAUAAAUAAAAAAUUAAGAUCCAUUUAUAUGUUCUCAAUCACUCAUUUACACGACAAUCACUCAUAAAAAUUCUUUGAGUUUGAUAAGCCUUUACAUGUGUGGCCGAAUCCUAUUGGGAUUUUUAGAUUUAUAGAAACCCAUGGUCUAAAUUAACCCAAGAACUAGUUAAAAAAUAGAAAAUUCGUCCAAGUUUAUAUUGUUAGCCUUGUUACUAUUCACCCUCCUGUGUGGGAUAAUAUCCUCAGUAAAGUUCACAUCUUACGGCGCAGUUCGGAGAUGAUAUAUGUAAUGGUAGGCAAUUUUGAUGCUGAAUUAAUCCUAUUUGGUCACCGCCGCCUUCAGGCUGGUUCAAAUUGAAUAAUUAUUGAUGCUACAGGCUGGAAUUUCAGGACGUAGGAGACAAACUGAUUUUGGGCAUAUUCCCUUCUUGGGCUUCUCUCCCUUUUUAAAUGUAAUGGACCCGACCUUUUCGUCUUCGUAAUUAGGCCAGGGCUUGCUGUUAAUAAAGAAGAUAUUCUAACCUGAUUAUAAAAGAUCAAAAAUCACAUUGUUACUAACAACAAAGAGUUCUAUAUACAAAAUCUACUAAUAUAAAAAAUAAAAAAUAAAAAAAAUACUGAUUCUGUAAUUGUUUAUUUUCCAAUACUUUCAAAUCAAUAUUCAAAGAAAGACAAGAGACCUCGGCUUUUGGGGCCAACAAGGACAUUAGAUUAUAACUGCUGCAUUUCUAGUAUUGUUAUUCUAUAAAACUAAUAGUAUAAUUAAUUAUAAGUAAGAUAACGAUUCGAACGAAGUUAUGAUGGUAUAUAUUUUUCCAUUCACACCAAAGCAAUCACUAAUUUUGAACAUUUCACAAUAUCUCAACUUGAAUUAGAACAUAAUUAUUGAAAAAACAAAAGAUUUUUAAUCAAUAAUAAAAAUAACAACAGGAGUAUGUAUUAUUACCGUGGCACCUGCAUAGGUAGUAGUAGUUGCAUGGAAUCUCAAGUCACCACAAUUACACCAGAUCCCCAGAUGAACUUGGCUUCAGGUUUUGGAUGCGCUCACCUUCAACUUCAACUUGAUCAUCAGCCUCGGCAGGAGGUGUUGCGGCAGUGUGUCCUUUGCAGCAGCGCUUAAAUAGAGAAGUUAACAUUACAUAAAAGAGUGAAAGGAUUAUGAGACACAAAUAAACCACCAAAAAAAGAGAUGGAGCCAAGAUGACUGACGCGAUUGUUGAUAUUGCCAACAGACAAGGGAGAUGAUCUCCACAACUCACGGACAUGGGGCUGCCUACACUGAGAGUAACUCUGAUAGCUGUGAGGAGAAAGAGCAGUAACAUCGAGACGGCAAGACUCAGGAAGGGGAAUUGAAGCUUUAAAAUUGGGUACAAAAGUAUGUGAUUGCCUCCAUCCUGGAAGGACCAAGACUGACCAUCUUGAGAUUUCAGGAAGAAACAGAAGACUACAAGAUUUAGCAAUGGUGGAAACAAAAAUUUCGCAUCAACAAGACAAUUCAUUUUUUGGCAAUUGAAUAACAAAUGAGAAUUUCAUAUUUGGCAAUGCAACAAGAUUUGAGCGCUCAGGUAACCAUAUGAGAGGCUUUGCUGUUAUAGUCUGAAGUCUGACAAAGGCAUUCUCGACGAUGCCGAAUAAAUUGAUAUUUGAUGCUGAAUAAAUUGCAAGGUAUGCCAUUCAUGAUGAUGUGUAUGACAUUUGCAGCGACAAUUGGUUGAAAGGCAUUUGUGUCAUAGUCUGAAGUCUGACAAAGGCAUUCUCGAUCGCUGCGAUGACGAUGAUGAUGAUUAUUAUUAUUUAUUUUUGGAGUUUAGCAAACAAGUAACAUUCUCCAUCUUUGUAUUUUUAAGGAAGCACAUUAUGCAGAGCAUGAGAAAACAAAGCUUGGGUCAACUCAAGUCAAACUAUCAGAAGCUGUUAAGCAACGCAACAGUCCAGACUGCCAGCUCAGCAUGAUUAGUUAAAGUUUGUUAUUACUCACAGUGUGUACUGAACAAAUGAUUAGCUGGAGUUGAUUCUUAGGUAGUUAUUGUUUAGUUAGUAUAAAUAGAAGUAAUGUAAUCAUUCUUAAUAUGAAAUAAAAGUUCUAGAAAAUCAGAAGAUUAUUUUCUUUGUUAUUUUCUUUUAAGCCAAACACUUCGUUUCAUAUUUUCUUCAUGGUAUCAGAGCCAUAAUCAUGGCGAACUCAAGUACAACUCAUUCAAAUCCAAAUUUUCUUAAUCAAAAUCAACCGUUAAAUGUUUCAUUCACAUUCACUACUCCUGUAAAGCUUGAUCGAUCCAAUUAUUUGCUAUGGCGCAAACAAGUUCUCACAUCUAUAAGAGGCAAUCGACUUGAGCAUUAUAUUUCUGGAAAUCGAGCUGUUCCAGAUCAAUAUCUUUCUGAUCCAGCUUCAACAUCAGACGAAAUUUCAGAACAAAGAGUUGAGAAUCCAGCCUACAUCAACUGGCGUGCUCAAGAUCAGAUCCUUCUUGGAUGGCUGUUAUCUACAAUCAACGAAGGUAUUUUAAGUUCUGUUUUAGGUUGUGGUACUUCGUUUGCUGUUUGGACCUCUAUUGAAAAACAAUUUGGAGUGCAAUCUGAGGCUAGAGUGAUGCAACUUAGAUAUGAGAUGAAUAUUUUAAGAAAAUAUUCAAUGUCUAUUGAAGAAUAUUGUGGAAAGAUGAGAAUGCUUGCUAACAAACUUGCAUGUGCUGGUGACUCCAUAACUGGAAAGGAUCUAUUAAUGAGAAUUCUGAAUGGCUUAGGGUCUGGUUAUUUGGAUUUAGCCUCUAUCAUCACUGCAAACAAAAUGGACUAUGAUGAAGCAUAUGCCUUACUUCUUACACAUGAAGCUAGAUUAGAACAAACUCAUAAUGCUACAGAUGUGUUCAAUGCUAAUUAUAGCAUAAUGAAUGCAAAUUACUCUCAGAUUAGGGGUAAUAGUAAAAGAGGUUCAUAUGGAGGUGGAUAUCAUGGUGUUAAUGACAAUUUUGGUGGAGGAUAUCGUGGUGUUAAUAGUAAUUUUGGUGGUGGUAGGAGACCAAAUUUUGGUAGAGGCAUGUUCUUUCAACAUUAUCCUAGAGGUUUUCCUUCAGGAAAUUGUAAUUUCAGUAGUUAUGGAAGAGGACAACCAAUGCAUACUCACAGAUCAAUGCCUGCAAAUCCUUCUAUGCAUACUGGAAAUUCUGAUGGAACACUACCUAUAUGUCAAAUUUGUCACAAGCAAGGGCAUACUGCUGAUGCUUGUUGGCAUAGGUAUGGAGAUGAUUUUGUACCAUCACCAAAACCUUUUGGUAGAGGUAGAGCUGCUAAGUCUGCCUACUUGACUGCUUUUGAACCACAAUUUUCUACCUGUCCAUUUAAAGAGCCUUUUGAUAUGAAUUAUCAACAACCAAUGUAUUACUCUCCAAAUUCCAUCCUACCUUAUGCAUCAGAGGAUUUCACAGCACCUGGAGCUGCAUAUGUUGCUAAUUUUGAAGAACCAGCUGAUGAUGGAUGGUAUCUCGACAAUGGUGCCACUCAUCACUUGACCAACAACAUGUCUAACAUGCAUGUUAGAGAAGAGUUCAAAGGGUCAGAUCAGCUCAUUAUUGGCAAUGGUUAAGGUUUGGCUAUUACUCAUAUUGGUGAUACUUUCAUUUAUUAUAAACACUCACAUUCAAAUGCCAAAUCUAUUCAUACACAAAUAGCACUCAAAGAUAUCCUACUGGUUCCUUCAAUUACUAAAAACUUGCUAAGCAUAUCCAAACUCACCACUGAUAAUAACUUGACAGUUGAAUUUUUUGGUGAUGUUUGUUAUGUGAAGGAUACACUGAGGGGGCAAGUUCUUCUGCAAGGUCUUGCUGAGAAAGGAUUAUACAAGCUGCUUUUAAAGCCAUCUGCACAAACACUUUCUUCUCCUUUCCUAUGUCAAACUAUUUCUAAUAAGCCUUUGUCAAUGUUAUUUGUUUGUCAUUCUAGUUUUAAUUGUCAACCUACUAUCCAAAGCAAAGUUUCAGAUAAUAAGAUCUAUUAUCAUACUGCUGUUGAUUCCUGCAAUUUAGAAAUGAAUAAAAUUCUUCUUUUGCAUAAACGAUUUGGUCACCCAAAUUUCCAUACACUAAUGCAUUUGCUAAAAUAAGUCAAGUCUAUUAAUAUUUCUCAAAGGAUGAAACAGCAAGCACUUGAAAUCAUUUGUGAAGAAUGUCAAAUGAGAAAAUCACAUAGACUGCAUUUUCCUGCUACUGAAACCAAAACAACCAAAAUUCUUGAACUAAUUCAUACAAACCUCUGGGGUCCUUCACCUCAUCCUUCCAAAGAGGGUUAUUCAUACUCUAUCAGCUUUGUAGAUGACUUUAGUAAGUAUACAUGGAUUUUUCCUUUGAAACUAAAGUCAGCAGCUUUAGAAGUAUUCAAACUCUUCAAACUGCAAGUUGAAAAACAAUUUGAUACCUCCAUUAAAAUGUUGCAAUCUGAUUGGGGAGGGGAAUAUAGACCAUUCACUAGUUUUUUAAAUCAAUCUGGAAUCUUAUUUAGACACCCUUGUCCCUACACACAUCAUCAAAAUGGGGUAGCUGAAAGAAAUAAUAGACAUGUUGUAGAAUUAAGACUCACCUUACUAGCUCAAGUUCACUUACCUUUUAAAUUUUGGUGGGAUGUCUUUCACACAGCAGUUUAUCACAUUAAUAGAUUACCCUCUGCCACUCUUCAUUUUGAUACACCCAAUGAGAAAUUGUUCAAUCAUAAACCAGAUUAUAACAUGCUUAGAUGUUUUGGUUGCUGUUGUUAUCCCUACUUAAGAGAUUAUAAUAGACAUAAAUUUGACUAUCAUUCAAGUAAAUGCAUUUUUGUUGGGUAUAGUCCAUCUCACAAAGGGUAUAAGUGUCUUUAUCCUUUUGGAAAAGUCUACAUAGCUAGACAUGUUAUUUUUUAUGAAAAUACAUUUCCUUACUCAAGUAUUUUCGAGUCACAGAAAUCUAAUUCUUGCUCUCAUAUUCAUCUUACUCCUCAACAAGUCUAUCAUCUCACUACUUUAUCUGUAACUCCUUUUUCUCUUGAUGGCAGCUUGAAUAAUCCUAACUCUGUAAGUUCCAAUUGCAGUGGUUCUGAACACUUGGUUAACUCAACUUCUUCCCAGCACAUUAUACCAGAAGAACCUAUACAAUCUCACAUUUUACCUGUUCUACCUACAUCUUCUCCAUCAACUAUACAAACACCAGUAAUCAUUCAACAAGUUUAAUCUCUAAACACUUCAUCUAAACCAAACACACACCAAAUGAUUACCAGGAGUAAAGCUGGUAUCUUUAAACCUAAGGUAUACACAGCAGUUCUUGAACACAAGGAACCAGAUUCAGUUCAUGAGGCAUUACAUAAUCCAAAUUGGUUUGCAGCUAUGAAAGAUGAAUUUGAUGCUUUAACUCAUAACAAUACAUGAUCAUUGGUUCCAAGAACAGGUGAUCAAAAGAUAGUUGGGAAUAAGUGGGUAUACAGAGUUAAAUACAACACUGAUGGUAGUUUAGCUAAGUACAAAGCUAGGUUAGUGGCAAAGGGCUUUCAACAGAUUGCAGGGGUGAACUAUUUGUGACUUUCAGUCCAGUGAUAAAACCAGCCACUAUCAGAGUUGUGCUAAGUCUUGCAGUGAUGAAUCGAUGGUCAAUUAGGUAAGUUGAUAUCAACAAUGCCUUUCUUAAUGGGGAUUUGUCAGAGGAAGUUUUUAUGGAUCAACCUGAGGGCUUUGUUGAUAAUCAAAGACCUAAUUUUGUGUGCAAACUUCAUAAGUCUUUGUAUGGUCUUAAACAAGCUCCAAGAGCUUGGUAUGACAAACUUAAAGGGUACCUAUUGCAGUGGGGAUUUGAAAAUUCACAAGCUGACACCUCUCUAUUCAUAGGAGGAACCACAUCAUCUAUGAUAAUAGUACUUAUAUAUGUUGACGAUAUUCUGAUUACAAGGCAGAAUAAUGAUGAUCUGGAAAAGUUUAUUGCUAAGUUCAAUGCUACCUUUGCAUUGAAAGAUCCUGGCAAAUUGUCUUAUUUCCUAGGCAUUGAAGUUCUUUAUGACAAAGACUGUGUAUAUCUUUCCCAGAGAAAGUACAUCAGAGAUCUACUUUCAAAGGUUGAUAUGCUGGAUUGCAAGGGCAUUGAUACUCCUAUGAGUACUGGUUUGAAGUUGCAGAAAGAAAUUCAGGGAGCUCUUGGACAAUACAUUGCAGAUCCUACUCUCUACAGAAGCAAUGUUGGGGGAAUGCAAUAUCUGGUAUUAACACGACCUGAAAUUGCAUUUUCUGUUCAUAAACUUAGUCAAUAUGUUUCUACUCCUACAUUACAACAUUUAAUGGCAUGCAAGAGAGUUUUAAGAUACCUGAAAGCUACACAAGAUUAUAGGCUCAAGUUCAUGAAAUAUGGAGAUAUAAAGCUUACUGCAUUCACAGAUGCAGACUGGGCUUGUGAUCUGGAUGACAGGAAAUCUGUGGGUGCCUAUUGUAUCUACUUAGGCAACAACCUAAUCUCUUGGUCCUCAAAGAAACAGUCUGUGGUAACUAGGUCCAGUGUAGAAAGUGAGUAUAGGUCAUUAGCUUCUGCAAGUGCUGAAUUGGUUUGGCUGCAAUCUUUGUUUUCUGAGAUGAAGCUUCAUUGCAUUGAGAAGCCUACUAUAUGGUGUGAUAACCUUAGUGCCACUGAACUAGCAAGAAAUCUUGUAUACCAUUCACGAACAAAGCAUAUCGAAAUAGAUAUGCAUUUCAUCCGAAACAAAGUGGUUGCAGGAGAGUUAAGCAUUCAUUAUAUACCCAGUGAAGAGCAAAUUGCUGAUAUAAUGACCAAACCUCUCUCAUUUACACACUUCAAUUAUUUGAGAGCAAAGCUCAAUGUGCAUCUCUGCCCAUUGAGUUUGAGGGGGGCUGUUAAGGAAGCACAUUAUGCAGAGCAUGAGAAAACAGAGCUUGGGUCAACUCAAGUCAAACUAUCAGAAGCUGUUAAGCAACGCAACAGUCCAGACUACCAGCUCAGCAUGAUUAGUUAAAGUAUGUUAUUAUUCACAAUGUGUACUGAACAAAUGAUUAGCUGGAGUUGAUUCUUAGUUAGUUAUUGUUUAGUUAGUAUAAAUAGAAGUAAUGUAAUCAUUCUUAAUAUGAAAUAAAAGUUCUGGAAAAUCAAAAGAUUAUUUUCUCUGUUAUUUUCUUUUAAGCCAAACACUUCGUUUCAUAUUUUCUUCAUGUAUUAUUCAUGGUGACAUUGCACUGUAAUUGAGAUCAAUGCAUUUAUCCCAGGCAUUUUAAACCAAAAAUCAUAGGUACAAUUAAAUUGGUGACAAAUUAAAAUUUCCCAUGCAUAUUAAACCAAAAAUCAUAGGUACAAUUAAAAUUUUAAAUGGAAAAAUAUUUGUAAUUGCCCAAAAGUCUUUCAUAUUUCUCAGUUAAUCUGCUCAAAAUAGAAUCUAAGGCGGCAAGACAGAAAGAUGCCACAACUCAUCACAGAAAAAAAUAAAUAAAAGAAGAAAAAAGAGUGACUUGGAUUCGACUUUAUAAAUAUAAUUACUAAAAUCUAAUAAUAAUAGUAAUAAUAAUAAUAAUAAGCAUUAAUAGACAGAGACACACAGUGACUCAGAAUCUUAUAAAUAUUAUAAUAAACCAUUCAUUGUCCGCUUCAUCUAUAUGUCGCCAUAUAUAUACAUAACUAAAACAACAAAUUGAAUAUCAAAAGAAAAUUUAUAAUCAGCAACGACAAGGAGACGUCAAAGGGAAAUCCCGAAUUUACCAUUUUGCUAAUACUUUAGAACGGUGAAAAAACCCGUACCCGGAGAAACCCUAAUUUUUUAAUUCAUGAUUUGAAUCUUACUUCGCAGAGAACACUCAUACUAGGUAGGAUACACGCCGUUCGUCCAAUCUUUCUAAACAAAAAGACUGAAUGUCAAAAGAAAAUUUCGUAUUUCGCAGUGGAAGUUGUGCCUGCUUUUUGGAUAAUCUAUAAGCUGAGAAAACAAGUACAUUACAGACAACAAUGGAUAUCCUUGUUCGGCUAUUGAUUAGCUCAUUGGUAGUCCGGCCCUAAGCCAUUUUCUUAAGUAAUAAGGAAACCAUGUGACAUUAUGAAUGAAAUAAUGCUUUCAAUUGGUGGCUGCAUAAAGUCGAAACAUCCAACAAAAGAUUCCACGUCCAAAAGGCUACUUCUACUUGGACCAACAUUUUCAUUUGGGCAAAGAAACAAGGAGAUAUUAAAGCGAUAACCAAAUUAUGUUCAACUAAUUUAUGUGGUAGUUUCAAAUUUUUAGUUUGAAAAAAAGCUUUUGCAUAACUUUGAAAUAUGAUAAGCUUUUAAUCAAUUGAAGUGGAACAUAAAAUGCAAAAUUACACUAUCUAUGACAACCGACAAAAGAUUCUAUAUCCAAAGCUACUUGAGUAAUUAAUACCGAACCUUCCUCACACUAACAAAUUGACCCUUGUUACAAAACAGAAGAACGUCGGACAUCAAUAUCAUCAAAUUAAACUAUAAGCACCAUCAGUGCCAAAUUUUGCAGCUACGCUGCUACCUUUAACCAGGGUAAACUCAGGCGGUUCUAUCCUGCAAACCAAAAAUGGAAAUUACAGAAGAAUGAAGCCAAAAAAAAAAAAAUAGAGAGAGAAAGUUACAGGGAGAAAAAUUGAAAGAUGACAGCGUUUUUCUGUCUCUUUUUAAAACUUUAGCUGUUGGGCUUAUUGACCUGUUUAUGCAAGUAUUUUUAAAUAUUUAGUAAAUAAUGAAGGAAUUUUUAAAUAUUAAACUCAUUAAAUUCAUUUAUAAAUCCUUAAUGAAUAUUUCAUUGAAUUUCUUAUGUAAUUAUUCAAAAUCAAGAAGAUAUAUUUACCAGCUCAUCAACCAGCGGACACAGAUUCAUAUAGGCAAUGCCAUGGUCAAGUCAGAAGAAGACCCAAUUCACCUGAAACAUACAUAAUUAUAAAAUAAAUAGAUAAAAUUCAACUUAGGAAACAUAUAUAUAUAUAUAUAUAUAUAUAUAUAUAUUUUGUUUUUUUUUUUGAUUGAAAGUAAUCCUUUCAUAAAUCAGACAACAUUGUUUAAUACAUUCAAUAUAUCUCUGCUGGAAUUUGGUCCAGCCAGAUGGCUGAAGUAUUUGCUCCUACAGCAAGCUUUUCCAGGGAAUGGGCACAAGUGUUACAGGUUCUAGGAAUAUGUCUGAACUUGACCUCUUUAAAAUCUCUUUGUUUCUCCUGGAUGUCCGAGAUAACCCAACUUAUACCUGUUCUACUGCUCUUGGAAUUGUUAAGUAAGUCCACUACUUCGUUGCAAUCAGGAAACACAUAUAUUAUUAUAAAGUAAAUAGAUAAAAUUCAACUUAUGAUAAAUUUGGGGUGUCGCAAUAACGGAAGAUGCCAACAAUCCUCAACUAACCCACUUGAACACACCCUUUUCUCGUCCUCUGACAUACAAGGUUACUGCGGGAUCUCAUAAGGACUUUGGUCUCAAAAGAGCUUGAUAAGCCUCUAGUCUGUGGGGCUGAAUCCAAUUGGGGUUUUUUAAAUUUAUAGAAAACCAGGGUCCAAUUUAACCCAAGAAUUAGUUCAACAAUAAAAAAUUCCUCAAGUUUAUAUUGUUUGCCUAGUUAUUAUUCUCCUUCAAUGUGAGAUAAUAUCAUCAAUAAGAUUCCUAUCUUACGGUGUAGUUCAGAGAUGGUAGGCAAUCUGUGUAAGGGGAUGAAUCCAAUUCGGUGCAAAUCACUUUUAGCCACUUACCUCGACCCCAUCAAGGCAAAUUUUUAGGCAACUUGGGUCUUGCAUUUCUUUGGUGCAAGUCAUUUUUCUUAAUCAAUUGUCUACAUAUACUAUUUACUUUGAAAUAAAUUGAAAUUUCAUUUAACAUAGACAGAUUUGAGUAGGAUUGUACAUCUACUACAAACACACAUCAAAAUAGAUUAACGGAUUAUUUAUUACAAGUAGACAAUGGAUUAAAUAUUUAAAUUACUGUGUUAACAAAUUAUGAGAGGAAAAAAGAUUAUUUGUAAAUCCAAUGUAUAUUCACUCUUCCCUUAGUCCACAAGUAAUUAAAGCUUCAAACAGAUGUAUACAUGUAAUUGCCUGAAGUCUAACAAGAGUCUAAGUUAAUCUACUCAAAAUAAAUUUUUCAAUAGUCAAAUUUUGAUAAAUUGGGAUAUUUAACGCCUUUAUUAAUUGAAAGCUCAUUGUUGGAAUUGGUUGCUGAGUUUCCAUAUAUAAAUUGAACUGUAGUCAUUAAUACACACACAAAUCCUUAUGGUACAGUCAGAUUGAAUCUGUUAUAGACUAAUUAAUUACAAUAUGUUUCUUUUACUAGCUAUAUGAUUGGAUCUUAAUUAAUGACUGAAGAAGAAAUUAUAAGAACCCAUACUAGUAUUAGUGUACUAAUACUUCUCCUAAAGCUAAUAUUAAUCAAACAAAGCAACUUCAGACAUUUUCCACUAAGCUCUAGAUCAGGAUCAAGUCCACAAUUCAAUAUUCCACAUGAUUUUCCCAUUUCAUGAAGUAAUAGGUCCGCCAUUACUAGGUUAUAAGGUAAUAAAAUUAAUUCCUUAACAUGCAUUCUAAAUCAUCCUUAAAUUUUAUAUGUUCGGUUCCAGCUGCAGGCAUAACUUUGGAUGGGCACAUAAAAAAAAUUAAAAAACAAAGACAAAAAAUGAAAAAGAAAGAAAAUAUCUAUCAAACCUCUUCUUCAGGAGAAAUCAAACGGAGGGGCGGCGCUGGUUUUCAAUAAAAUUAAUUCCUUAACAUGCAUUCUAAAUCAUCCUUAAAUUUUAUAUGUUCGGUUCCAGCUGCAGGCAUAACUUUGGAUGGGCACAUAAAAAAAAUUAAAAAACAAAGACAAAAAAUGAAAAAGAAAGAAAAUAUCUAUCAAACCUCUUCUUCAGGAGAAAUCAAACGGAGGGGCGGCGCUGGUUUUCAUCUACCGAUGACUCCAUUGAUAAUCCCUUGAAGUCCCCAACGCUCUAUUUGAAUUUUUUUUUUUGGCUGUGUACAAAGAACUUGAACUCGGGAAGAAGAAGGCCAGGAAACACGUAUAGAUAAGGGAGCAACGUGGUCCAAUUCCGUCUCACGAAGAAAAACAUACGACCCUUUUCAGCUUCAAGAAUGAUUGGACGGAAACAUGUUAAAUGUCGCGUGCAUGGGACCCGUUUUGAAGACCUUAUCUCAUCUUUUCUCAUUGUGUCUAUUUGCGAAUCUUUGAACAUUAGGUGGGGUACGUUAAUCCUGAUUUUUUAUUUUAAAUUUAUAAAUGUAAAAUCUUAAUUUAUAAAGCUGAAUUGGUAUAUAUGUAUAGAAAAAGGUCAGUAUAAAAAUUAAAAAAAAAAAGAAUAAAUUUGACACAAAAUUAAGAUUAAUAUACCGUUCUCCGUAUCAUAAAUAACUAAACAACCACUUCUUUCCUGGAAAAUCAUAAAUAUUACUAUAAAAAGAAAAAAAUAAACCAAUAUAGAAAUAAGUGCAAGAAGCGGAAAAGUGCUUUUCAGCUCCUUUCUCUGAUGAAGACGAAAAUAGCAACUAUACUAAAAGCGACCUGCCAUUUCAUGAGAUCCACUGACAUCGACAAUAGAAAACCAAACACUUUCCAUUCCAAACCAAACACUUUCCAUUCCAAACCAAAAAAAAAAAAAUGGAAAAAAAGAUUUGCGUUCCACUUUGUAAAUAUAAUAAAUGUAAUUACAUCCUCAUAAUAGAUACAUAUAUAUUAAAACAAAAUGUAAAUAUAAAUAUAAAAAGAACAAUUAAGAUAAAAUAAGUUUCUUUAAAACAUCACAAUGAGAAUUGAGAAGCAACUAUUGUUUAAUUUUUAAUUUAUCUGCGGGCCGCACGUAUUCAUUUAACAAAGAAAUCGUAAUGAAUUACCAGAACUAAAGCUUAACUGAAGAAAUUGGAGAGUUAGAUCACAUACUCCACCCCAACCAUGGAGACCAUCGGCACCAGCACCUGAACCAUCAAAACCAUUGCUUCCACCAGUUCAAUAUCCACCAUCAUCGGUUCAGUUCACCCCACCCCUUCACCUCUGCCAGAAUCUCCUCCACCACCUCCUUCAGUUAAAUAUCCACCACCAGUGCAAUCCCCACCUCCACCUAUGCACUCUCCUCCUCCACCAGUAAGAUCGCCACCCUCACCUUCACCUCCACCACCUUCAGUUCAGUACCCACCACCAGAGCAAUCUCCCCCACCUCCAACACCAGUGCAAUCUCCACCACACCCGUGAACUCUCCUCCACCACCAAUACAAUCUCCAUCCCCAAUUUCACCUCCACCAGUGCAAUCACCCCCGCCUCCAACACCAGUGCAAUCUCCACCACCACCUGUGCACUCUCCUCCACCACCAGUAAGAUCUCCACCACCUCCUUCAGUUCCAUAUCCACCACCAGUGCAGUUUCCACGGAAUCGUAUGCAUAACUGACACAACUGAACUGAUUUUUAUCUUUUUCUUAAAAAAAAAAAAAUUGAAACAGAAGAAUAUAUUAUUGCUGUAGCACCUCUAGCCAGCCAUAGGUAGUAGUGGUUGCAUGGAACUAUGGAAGCUCAAGUCACCACAAUCACACCAUAUCCCCAGAUGGACUUGGCUGCAGGUCUUGGAUGCGCCCACCGUCUACUUCAACUUCAGCUUCAGCUUCAUGUCCAACUUCAACUUGACCAUCAGAUUCAGGAACAACAGUGCGUCCUUUGCAGAAGCGCUUGAACAGAGAAGUUGACAUUACAUAAAAGAGUGAUAGGAUCAUGAGACACAGAUAAACCACCAAGAGAAGAGAAGGAGCCAAUAUGAGAGACGCGAUUGUUGAUAUUGCCAACAGACAAGGGAGAUGAUCUCCACAACUCACGGACAUGGGGCUGCUCACUCUGAGAGGAACCCUGAUGGCUGUGAGGAGAAAGAGGAGUAAUAUCAGGACGGCAAGACUCAGGAAGGGGAAUGGAAGCUUUAAAAUUGGGUACAAAAGUAUGUGGUUAGCUCCAUCCUGGAGGGACCAAGACUGACCAUCUUGAGAUCUCAGGAACAAAAAGAAGACUACAAAAUUUAGCAAUGGUGGAAACACGAGUCUCACAUCAACAGGACAAUUCAUUUCUGGAAACUGAAUGUCAAAAGAAAACCUCAUAAUUUUGCAAUGGAAGAAGAUUUUAGCUCUCAGCUAACCAUAUGAAAGGGCUGAGCUCUUGGGGCCUUGGGGGAUUUAUAGGAUGGAGGCCAACUCCUAUUGCCUGCAUUUGCACGGUUUUUCUCUCUCCUCAGGACACGUGUGCCUUUUGACGGUUUUUCAUGAAAUAAGUGCUCAAAAAAUAAAAGAAUUUAUAUAAUAUUCUUUUCAAAAAAUGCUCAUUUUCAUAAACCCAAUAAAUGCUCAAAAAAUAAAAGAAUAUAUAUUUUAUUUUUAAAUGAAAUAUACUUUUUAAUAUUUGUUUAAUUUAACCAUAACAUAUAUCUAAAGUUUGAAUUUUUUUAACACAAAUUUUAAUACAUAAUCUAAUAAAAAAGUUAAUAAAUUAUAAAUUUAAAAAGUACAAUAAAAAAGGUUUAAAAAAAUUAAGGUAUAAAUCUGAGCUUUUACAAUAAAAUAUCAAAUAGUGGCAAAAUGGCUGCUCAAAAAGUGCACCAAAUCAAAAUUAUAUAUUCGGUAAUUUAAUAGUUUUGGGUUUGGGCUUUUAAUUCUUCGCUCCGUGUGUUAUUUUAAAUAGAUUUUUUUUUUUAACAUACAGCAUAAACUUGACAAUACAUAUAUAUUUUUUCAAGAUGCAGUUUUUUGAUAAAGAAUAAAACAAAUGAUUAAGAGUGUUUUGAUACAAUUUUCAAAUUAGGGCAUAUGAUAAUUUAAAAGUAAUUGAUUUCCCAAGAAUAAAAUUAUGAUACUUCAUCUCAAAGCAACUUAUAUUAUUAGCUAAUUUUAUGAGUCAGUUUAACAAUUUACUACACAAAUAAAAUAGUUUUUUAAGCACUACAUAAAUAUAUAUGUUGUAAUUUCAUCUCAAAGCAGCAUGCGCAUACAGUGGUAACGAAAUACAAUUUAAAAAAAAAAUUGUCAAGCAUUACAUGGCAAUAAUUCAAAUUCAAUUACAAUCCCUUUACUAUUAAAAAGAUUCUCCUACUUUCAACGCAUUUUUUUUCUCUUAGAAUUGAUAUACAUAUAUAUAUAUAUAUAUAUACACACAUAUUGUCCUCACGAGAUGGAGGGAAAUCCUACGCUUAAUCCUAACUUCCAAACAUAAUUUUAAUGACUAAGAUUUGUCUUUGUUGACCUUUGAUUCAGUGUUAACCAAUAAGGCUUCCCGCAUGAUGAAAGGGGAUAAAAGAGAUUAAUUGUAAAUAAAUAAAAGCUUGCAAAUUAAAAAGCUGUCCAAAACAUCCGAUAAAAGAGAUGAGGUUCAGAAUGUCUCAAUUAAAUAGAAAUGACUCAAAACUCAAUUAAAUAGAAAUUACUUUGAUUUGUCAAACAAUUAUUUAGCCUUCUGUCCAGUUGAAAAGUCAAGAACACUAUGUAAGCUUAAUUAUAUGGAGACAAUCAUCCCACCAUACUCAUAAUCCUUAAGCGCGUGUAGAGAAAAAAUAUAUAAAAAUCUUUGAAAUUAUGAAUACAUUGUUUCUUUUUAUUAUUACGAACAUGAUUUUAAAAACUUAAAUUUUUUUUCAUAAUCUUGGCAAUCUUAAUUUGGUGCAGACUUUUAUUAUUUAUAAUGUAUGAUUAAGGUAUAAUUAUUUGUAUAUUGUUAUCUACUGAUUUGUUAAAAUUAACAAAUUUAUAUGAGAGAGAUUUUAAUAUUUCUUUGGAGAUUUAUCAAUUGAUGAUUGAUAAAAAUAAAAAUCAUAAAAUAAUAAUCUAAAUCAUGCAUGACUAAUAAUAUAUAAUAUCACAAAAUUGUUAAACGGCAAGUAAAAUCUAUAAACAAAGGUUGUAGAUUUUGAGGUAGCUUUUAUUGUUUUAUUUAACGUCUGAAUGAAUCUGAAAGUUUCUUAAGUUUGAAUAUCAAUAUUUGAAUGAUAUGUUUAUUUUUCUUUUUCUAACAUUUGAAUAUAAAUGACAUUUUUAUAAAUAAAAAAUAUCUUCAACAUAGUUAUUUGAAAUUUAUAUCCCUAUAAACAAAAAAAAUGAUUAUGUUUUAUAAUUUAGAAAAUAAAUAUAUUUACUAUGGAUAUUUUUAGAGUAUAUUAUUUAUUUUUCAUUCGGAUAAAAAUUAUAAAAUUUUAUUUUUCUAUUUAAAUGUAAAUGUCUAAAAUAAAGAGGGUAAAGCACUAACCCAUGGAAAUACAAAACCAGUAGAUGGUGGGAAAAUAUAUAUAUAUAUAUAUAUAUAUAAUCCUCACGAGAUGGAGGGUAAUUCUGGCAUUUUGAAAAUUAAGGAAGUUGCACAGAAGUUUCAUGUAUCUCGAGGAUUGAGAAAGCAACUUAUAUUGUUAGCUGAUUUUAUGAGUCAGUUUAACAAUUUACUACACAAAUAAAAUAGUUGUUUAAGUACUACAUAAAUAUAUAUGUUGUAAUUCCAUCUCAAAGCAACAUUCGCAUAAAGUGGUAGAGAAAUACAACCAAAAAAAUUGUUAAGUAUUACAUGGCGAUAAUUCUCAUGAUGAAAUUAGAAUUUGUUAAUUGGCCUAAGCACUGUUUAAUAUUUACUUUUAAAAAGCCUAUGGCAUUAAAUUCACUUGCUAAGAUAUUGGAGUAGUGUUGAUGCAAUUUUCUGUCAUGCCUGCAGAUUCAACUCGCUAAGAUUUCGGUUAUACCUUCAGGUUCAAGUAUUGUUGCUGAUUAUGCGAGCUGUUGGGAUAAUUGAGCAUGGCUUUAGAUUCAAUUUCAGCAAAUGUAAUUGGUGUGGAGAGAGGAUUUAAUUCGAAUGAUUUAAGGUUCUAGGAAAAAAAGAAAUUUUUCUUUAUGUUAACUUGCAACAAUAUGUAAGGAAAUUUUUUACGAUAUUAGCAAUAUUUAAUAACAGAAUAGUUGAAAUAUUUUUAAAUUAUGGUAUUUUCAAGAAUUAAUGUCACUGCAUUCAACUCAUUAAAGUCAUUAAUAUUUGAAUGAUGCGCUUUAAUUCUUAUCCGAACAUUGGACUAAAUUUGAUUAUUUAAUUCGUACUGUAGACAUUUGGACUAUGUCAAUAUGUAAGGAAAUAUUAGUGCAAAGUGAGUUUUCUUUAUGUCCAAUAAACUAACAUUUUGUUUCCCGCACAUGUCUUUGAGAAAUGGGUUCAAGUUUAAUUUUGCCAAUUAAUACACUUCUCGCGUACUUUUUUUUUUUAGUGGCUGACAUGGGUCGAAGUUUAUUUUUAUCUGCUAUGUAUCGACAGCCUUACAGCCUGUAUUUAAUGAUUCUUUUUGUGCUAUGAUUUUUCUUUUUGCUAAUUAAUCCCUUCGCUUUCACGCAACAAAUGGAAAAUUAAAAUGAAAAUUUGAAAAAGAGUGAUUUAAGAUGUUUUCUUCUCCUUAGCUUGUGAGCCAGACUGGUAGCUUUCUUUUUUCUUUUCUUUUUUUAAUAAAUCAUACGCUGCCGUGUGUAACUAAACAUAUAUUUGAAAUGUGCGGACAUCGAUCGGGAGUGAAGGUAACUUUUUCUUGGAUCCCUCUAAGUUACAUGCAUGUACCUUACAACCUUCUCACAUAAAUAAUAUCCAUACACUAUUCAUGUGAGAGGGAUGUAAGGUACAUGCAUGUAACUUAGCAUUACCCCUUUUUCUUUAUUAUAAUUUUCAAAAGUUGUAUCUGUGGCACUGCUUGACAAAAGCUAUGAAAUUUCAAUAUUCAUGGCCUGACACGUGUCAUGUCAUGUGAGCGAGGAGAUGGGGGCAUGUGAUUGUGAAUUUGUGAUGUGAUCAAAGUUGCAUUCACUCACGUAGAUACGUGUGAGAGAGAGAGAGACUUGUUUUUCUUCCUUGUUUGGGAAUUGGGACAUAUCUGCGUGAGUUUUCUUUUGCUUAAUUACAAUCUACGUGUAAGAUUGAUUUAUAUAUUGGCCUGAUGUUUUCUUUUGCUUAAUUUCAAUGAAGUUUCCAAGCAAAAAUUUAUGAAAGUUUAAUAUUAAUGUAGAAGUUUCAUAUUAUUUUUACAAGUGUUUGUUUUGUUUGUAAUUUUAAAAAAUAAUUUACUACCCUAACGCUUAUUUUAAUGGAACAAGACAAUUUCAGGUUCCCAAUAAGCCACUAGGGGAACAAAUCCACAAGCCAAUAUUCCAAAAAAAUUUGCUUUUCAUGAAUUAGUACUAUUAAUUUAAUGGGUCUGCCUUCACUCCCUUAUCUAUUAAUUUUCUUUUUGGUUCGCUCAAAAUCUGCUGUAAUUUAAAAUCUUAGAUCAUUAUUCCUUUACUUUCAUGCAAUAUUAAUUCGUUUAAAAUUUUAGGCUGCAGUAUCUCAGCAUGGUGAAUGCAAGAUGAGACUCUAGAACUUUAGAUCAAAUAUUAAAUUAAUUGUGCUAUAUAUAUUAAUCUCGUAUCAGUUGUGUAUUUAUAAUAAUAUAAUUAUGAUUCAGAUUUAAUACAUAUUAUUUCUUAUUUAAUAUAUAACUAAUAAUCCCAAUAUUUCCCAAAAUAAAUUAAACUCAACUUGCUUUUUGAUAAGUUUAUUAGUAAAAAUUAUUGUCAUAUGUCAUAUCUUUUAUAUAUAUAUAUAUAACAAUAAGUGGAUAUCCUUGUUCCGCUAUUGAUUAGUAGUUCAUUUGGUCGGACGGCCCUAAGCCAUUUUCUUAAGCAAUAACGAAAAAAAAUGUAACAAUAUCAAUGAAAUAAGGCUUUCAAUUGGUGAUGGCAUAAAUUCAAAACAAAAACACAAGAACGUACGAUAUCGGUAUCAUCAAAUUAAACUAUAAGCACUAUCGGUGCCAAAAUUUGUAGCUACGCUGCUACUUUUAACCAUUGUAAAUUCAGGCGAUCCUAUCAUACAAAUUAAAAAUGAAAAUUACGGAAGAAUGAAUUCAGAACAUGCCGAAUCCCUCACAAAACGUCCAUAUAUUCACCAUUUAACCAUGACAACCUUUUUCGUUUUUUGACGCAAAAAAAAUAAUAGAGAGAAAGUGACAAGGAGAAAAAUUGAAAGAUGAAAGCGUUUUUCUCUCUCUUUUUGACACUUUAGCUGCUGGGCAUCUCGUCUGCAUUUUUGCCGGAAGCUUGUUGACCUGUGCUAUGGAAUGCCUGUCCCCCAUUGGAGAAUUGAAAUCCACAUUAAAAAGAAAAAUAAAAAAAGUACAAUCAAAUGCCACAUUAGCAAAAGAUGAUGUCACAUAAUAGACUUGCGCCUAUUAUGUGUGUGUGUGUGUGUGUGUGUGUGUAGAUAAUAGAUUGCAACACCUGUUGUUAUAAUGUCUCUCGUCUCACUAGAUUUGUAUCGUCCAAGUCUUUGUCAAAGUUCGAAAAUUCAAUAUUCACAAUCCACUGAAGGAAACUUUCUGAGGAAGAUAUCAACUUGCAGACAAGCAUCCAAAAGGAUGGCAAAAAUGAACAUUAAUUACUCCCUUAUCUAUGUCUUAAUUAUAAUUAUAUGACUAGAACUUGAACAAAGAUUGACUUGUGGAUUUGUUCCCGAGCCGGAUACACUUGUUGGACAGUGAGGGUAAUUGCUUCCGGUGGGGGAAAAAAAUGCUUAAAUUUAAUGUUAAUUUUGGGAUAAUUAUUUUCAGGAGUAAUUUUUUUAAGAGAUGAAUCAAUUUUAUAAAUUGUCUGUUUGCAGUGGGGAUAAAUUAAUAUUUUCUAUUUUAUUUUAUAUCAGAGUCAUCACCUAGAAAAAUUAUUCUGUAGAGGAUAAAGAAUAAGAACAAGAUUGCAAGAGAAGAAAGACUCCAUUUUAUUUUAGGAGUGAGAAAACUGAAAAAAAAACCAGAAAAACAAACAACAGAGAAAGUGGGUUCAAGAAGCAUUUUUUUUCUAUACGACAUUGCCGACACGAACUUGAGGACCCUUUGAACUCUUUUAAUGCGUGCCAGCUUUUGCUUGAUUUGUAUACCCAAUUUCUAAAACGCAUCAUCUUUAAAUAAUAUUAAAAAAGAAAACAUUUAAUGUAUUAAUUCUUUUGGAUUUUCAGCCACUUGCAUUACCCAAAAUCAGUAUCUCAAUUUUCUCAUCAAUUGACCCCUUUGUUAAGAAUAAGGUUAUUAAGAAUUAAAUUAGUAGAAAAAUCUUGGGAAAAAUACUUCAAAAUCCAUCAAUUGCGUAUGAAAAGAAACAACCAUGUUUAAUCUUUUGCAAGCAUAGCUCAUAUAACGAUUUUAAACAUUUAAGCAAAACAUUUUCCUUGCAAAAAUAUGAAUGACUCUAACAAAAACCUGAAAACCAUCAAGAUUUUCGUUGUUUCACUACCACAUGAGCAAAAAAGCAAACGGUAUUUUCAAAUUAUGAGAGGAAAAAGAAAAAUUGUGCAGAAAAUAUAUGUGAAUAAAUUAUGCAUCUUCCAAUAAAUAGAUGCGUCUAACAAAUAUAAUUGAUAUAAUAAUGGAUACAACCAUAUUAUAUGUAUAAGCUUUGUGUGCUAAUAUCACUAGUGUCAGUGACAAAAACGACCAACAUACACAAUAAUCUCUAUUAAAAUUUAGAUUGAUCUAAAUUACCGAUUUUGUAAGUUAAUUAGACCCAAUUAAUACACAUACAUACAUACAUACAUACAUACAUACAUACAUAAAUAAAUAUGUAAGCUCAUAGUACAAUCCUUUUUGCGCUAUUCAUUAGUUGUUUUUAUUUAUAUUUUUAGUUAGUCAAUCUACCUUUUAUAGAACUGGGAAACAAAUUGUAGUUUAGGGAAUAAAUUUAUAUUAAAAAAAAUCAAAUCAAAAUAAUGAAAGAACUAAAGGCCAUUGGACUGGUUGCUAACAGCAAAUGGUGCUUUUUAAUGAAGUCAAGCUCAGAGUUUUUAAAAAAAUUUCAAGCUGGGAACACAAGUUUUUCGCAAGUGAAUGCAAAGAGGUACUAAUUAAAGCUGUUGCACAAUCUAUCCAAAAAGCAGUAGCUAGGUUCUGGUGGGGGAACAAAACAGGAGAAAAGAGUAUCAUUGGGCGAGGUUGCUGCUAGUGUGGAGAUAUGAGACGUGAAGGAAUAUAACAUUAAAAAUAAAACAUUUAAGGGACACGUCAUGAAUCAUCAUGUGGCAGCAAUUCAUCAAGAUUUUCGUUCGUUCGUGCCAACCACCACAUGAGCAAAAAAGCAAACGAUAUGUCGUUAACCAUCUCAAUAUAGAUGCAAUGAUUUUCAGCAACUUGCAUUACCCAAGCCAUUCUCUCAAUUUUCUUUAAAAGCUGCUUUCAGUCAGCAAUUUGCAACUCACUUUUUUUUUUUCGAACUUUCUUAAUUUGGAAUUUAAUGAAGCAGAAAGAAUCUUGAAAACUCCUUUAUUUGCAACAGAAGUCCAAAGGGGUCGGUGCCACAGAAUGUGAACUAUUUUCACACGUACGAGAGAGCCAAGUUACCAAGAAAAGAGCUAUAACGUCACAGUUCCCAAAACCUUUAUUAACUUUCUUUCCUUGCCCAGAAGCAAAAACAUUAUUCUCCGUUAACAAACAGCUACAAGAACUUGGAACAUCCCCAAACAUUAUUCUGUAUUUCCUCAUCUUUUUAUUAUUCCUGGUAACAUUGCUCUAUAAAUGAGAUAAAUGCAUUUAUCCGCACCCAUAUCAAUUGAGGAGAGUGUAGUGGUGGGCAUGGAUUAGUUUGGGUUGGGUUUUAAGUUAAUCCAAAUCAAACCAUAAAAAUUUGGGCUCAACUCAAACAAGUCAAACCAACCCAAAUAUUUUUAACCCCGCUCAAACUAACACAUUUGGGUUUGGUUUGAAUUUUAUAAUCAAAAUAUUUUUAUUUUAAUAAAUUUAACUAUAUAAAAUUAUAAUAAUUAUUAAUUAUUAAAUUAAUAUUAAAAUAUGAAAAAAUGUAGUGGAUAAAAAUUAUGAAUAAUGGAUUUUACAAUAACUGUGUUCUUAAAUAUUAACCAUAUUACAACAUAAAUUCUAACAAUGUCAAUACAAAUUAAAGUAAGAUAAAAUAUCCCAACUCAAGUAUCAAAGGAAUCCAUCAAAAUUAAAUUAUUUAACUUUAUAAAUUUAAAUCUUCUGAGAUAAAUCUAAAAUUUAUUGUAAUUAAAAAAGUGCCAAAAUUUUAAAUGCAGUAAGAAAAAUUAAACAUGAAAUCUAAUUAGGUUUAAAUUUAAUUAAAAAAUAACAAUAGAAUCAUAUUUUAUUUGAUAAAAUCUUAUAAUCAAUUACAUUUUUAAUUUUAGUAAGUUACAAUAAAAAUAGGACUAUAAAAUUAUAUUAGACGAUUUCAUAAAAAUAUUGUUUAAGUAAUUUAUUAAAAUGUUAAUUUAGUCUUUUAACUCAAGUUGAGACUAAAAACAAUUGUUAUAUAAUAGUGUACAGUACAACCAAUUGCAUAUGUAUUUGCCAUGUGCAGCACUUCUAUUAUUAUUAUAUCAUAAUAAUUUUAAUAAAAAAUUAUUAUUAAAAUAUUGAUUUAACCUUUUAUUUUUUUAAUUUAUUUUUCAGUGAUAUGUUACCUUGAAUUUGUUCAUGACCCAUGGGUAACCAUACCUAAUCCAUUGUGAAAUUGUUUCUUCCAUAAAAAUCCAAAUUUAAUCCAUUACCUGAUUUAUCCAACCCAAACCAUUUUAUUCGGUUUGAGUUUAGGUAAGCCCAUGGGUUGUGGGUUUAUACCCACCCCUAGAGGAGACAAAUUAAAAUUUCCCAUACAUAAUAAACCAAUUAUUCCACAGGCACAAUUAAAAUUUCAAAUAGAUGUAUUUAUGAAAAUGCCUAGAGCCUACAAAACUUCUUAAUUAAUCUGCUCAAAUUGGAACAUUUGACAGCCACUUUUUGAUAAAUUGGGUUAUUUAACGCCUAUAUAUACUUUGAAACCUCACUCUUGGAAUUGGUUGCUGAGUUUCCAGUUACUAAUUGAACUAUAGUCAUUAACACACACGUAUAUUUAUGCUUAUGGUACAGUCGGAUGGAAUCUGUCGUAGACUAAUUAAUUACGACAUGUUUCUUCUGCUAGCUAGUUGGUUUUUUAAACAUAUAUAUGAAUCAUCUAUAACACUAUGUAACAAUACAAAUAGGGGUGGCAAAAAUGAAUAAACAAAUUGAAUUCGAAUUGAAUCGUAAACGAAUUGGACUAAAAUUCUAUUGAUUCGGAUUUGAUUCAUUUAAUAAAUGAAUCGAAAUAUCAAGAUUUGAAUUCGAUUCGUUUAUUAAAUGAAUAUUCAAUUUGAUCCGUUUAAUAUAAUUAAUAAACGAAUCGAAUCGAAUCUGAAUUCGUUUGCUAUUUGUUUAUUUUUAUGAAUCCAUAAUGAAUCGAAUCGGAUUUGGAUUCAUUUACAAUUCAUUUGCGAAAUUCAAUAUUAACCUUCAAAUUUUUUUUAAAAAUAAUAAAUUUAAAGACAAAAAGUAACUCAAUUAAACGAAUGGACCAUAUUCGAUUCCUUUAUAAUCCAUUUAUUAAAUGAAUCCUAAACGAAUAAACGAAUUAAUAUUUUCAAACGAGAAUUUAAUUUGUUUAAUUAGCGAAUCAAAUCGAAUUUAUCCAUUUAUUAAAUGAAUUAAUUUUUUCAAAUCUAAAUCCAUUUAAUUUAAAUGGAAUCGAAUAUACGAAUUCUGACCCAAAUUGCCACCCUUAAAUACAAAUAAUUGAGAUUAAACAAGAUUAAAUUAAACGGAAGACUUAUGAAACUUGAAAGUCACAAAGCUUUUCUAUUAUAAUUAAUACUGCACAGAAGGCAAAUUCAAUUUAACUUCUUAGAUCUCCUAAAGCUGUAUGAUUGGAUUGGAUCUUAAUUAAUAACUGCAGGAGGAAUUAUAAGAACCCACCCAAGACGUAUUAGAUACUUCUCACGAAGUAUUAAGUCUACCAAUAUACAAAAGAAUAUUUCACGUGCCUGCAGCAGGGCCAUUUUUGGAAAGCUUUUAGUACGAUUAUCCGUUUGCGACCAUUAUUAUUUAUUAUUAGGUUGAGUGUGUUAUUCUUUAUCUUAAAUUUUAAAGAUAAGAGUUAGAAUAUUGGCACCCUGUUAUACUCUUAAAACCCAUUUUUUAACUAUACUCUAUUAAAUAAUUUGAAAGAUCAGAUAACUUCUAUUGAGACCCUCUUUUAUUCCACAAAUAUCCUUAUUUCACUCUUUCUUCUGAACAAACUCCAUUCAUGAUGUCUCUUUUCUUAAAUUUUUAGGUACAUGAACAAAAAUUUCUAUGUUUAAUACUAAUUGUGCAUCUUAUAAAAAAGAUACUAGCUAAUACACGUUUGGGAUUGAUUAUUUUUAUGGUAGUUUGUCUAUUGUUUAACUUUACAUAGACUUAAAAUUCAAAAUAAGAAAAAAUUGAAAUUUGAAUGUCUUGAGUGCAUCUAAAUGCUUACAAUAAGUCAUGAGAUAUUUUCAUCUUCAUCUAUUUUUAUUCAUAAAAUUUUUCUAGGGUUGGACCCUUUCUUUAGGCAUCAAAACAGGAUACAAUUGACAUUUUUUAAGAUAAUUAAAAAUAAUGAAUAGUCCAGUGAAAAUUAAUGGAUUUACUUUAGUUAGUGUAAAUUAGUUUUGCCAAGGGUAAAUAUAAUUCAGGCUCAUCAAACUCUUUAAAAGAGAAAGAAUAAAUCUGCAACUAUAAAUGUGGUCUUCAAAUUUCAUUUGCACUUUGGCAUUGGAUGAGGUGCAUAGGGUUUUUUUCGGUUAGGGAUAAAUUUGCAAACAAAAAUAAGAGGGGUUUUAAGAGGAUAUUGGAGGUGUGCCAAUAGCACCACUCCAAAGAUAAAUGCAAAGUCUUCAUGCAACGGAAAUAGAAAUAAAUUUUUCGUUUUUUUGACUGUGUUUUAUUCUUAUCGAUAAAAUAUCAAACGAUUGAGUCCAAUCAUGAAUAUCCGACUAAGGUGGGCGUCAUUUUAUUCUUAUAGUGCGUGAUCGUUUUUGACCAUUUAAUGAUUAAACUACAGAGUUUUAUCAUUUAAUGGUGAAAUUUAAAUAUGUAAUUUUUUCCAUGACAUUUCUUCGCGAUUGAUAGUACACAAUCCAUAAUUGUUUUCCCAUCAUAUAAGGGUCAUCCACCCUUAUGAGAAGAAGAAAAAAAGAAAGAGUUCAGCUACAUUGGAGCAUCUCUAAAUGCAAAGCAACCCCCACAACCAUUCGAUGGAUAUUGUUACAAUUGGAAAUGCUCCAAUGUAGCCGCUGCCAAAAAGAAAUUAUGAAACUUAUUAGGAACUUAAUUAGUAGAAAAUCUUGGGGAAAAUGCUUCGAAAAGCAUAAAUUGUAUAUGAAAAGAAACAACCUUGUUUAAUCUUUUGCAAGCAUAGCUCAUAUAACGACUUUAAACAUUUAAGCAAAACAUGUUUCUUGCAAAAAUAUGAAAAGUUCCACCAAACAGUGCAGUUUACUGAUGUUAAAAGACACAUUCAAUCAAUUUCCCUAACUUCCAACAUUCAAUUUAAUGAAAUCACAGUCAUUAGCCUCCUACUCUUACAAUAGGAUAAGAAUUUCUAUUUAUUGUAUAUUUAACUGCAGUGCCAGACUCCAUUGUUUCAGAGAUUGUCCGCAAAAGUAAAACAGAUCAUUCUUGUUAAUUUCCCUGGAUGAUCAGUUUCUUUGGUAAAAUAACUCUAGCACUUGCAGCCCCUGGGACUUCUUAAAAGAGAAAAUACAUAAUGGUGAAGUUAGGACCAUAAAAAAUAAACUCUUGGAAUUGAGCAACAUCAUGACAACCACAUUGCUUUCCAUAACAAUGACUAGUGGCAUGAUCAAAACAAGAGCAUAGAAAACAAUCUCUCAGCCAUUUAUAAGUCAUCAAUCAGUGUGAAUAUAUGAGAUAUGAAGGAAGCAUGCACCUUUAAGAUAACAAAAACACAUAUAUCUUAAUAAAUACAAUAGUUCAUUCUCAUCAGUGUUUCAGAAACUAGCAUUAUCGAGAUUAUGCUCUCAAUCUCUGUGCUUAGUCAUCGACAUACAACCAUGCCAAAAGCUAGCCCUUCCCAACUAAGUCCAAACGGAUGCCAAAAAGUGAACAUUGUCCCACAGACAAAAAGUGAAUUGCUACCAAAGGUAAUCCACACCAAACAAUCAACACAUGAAAUACAGGACCUUUAGACAGAGAAAAUAGGGCUGAAGAAGAAAUUAAAAACCAUAGAAGCACCAAGUUCUUCUCCUAAUACUAAUAAUGGACCAAAACAACAUCACAAAACACUUAAUAUACAAUUAGAGGAAGAAAUCCAUACCAAUGACAAGCUAAAUACGACAUUUUUCUAGAAUAAAUAAUUCUGCAAACAAAAAAACACAUUAAUUAUCUGCAUUUUAAAUAAUCCUAAAAAUGAACAUAUAAUUUUCAUUUAUGUCAUAAAAAUAAUCCUAACAGUAAGUAAUAUUCCACUGAAACCCCAACCCUCUAUUCAAUUUUUUUUUUUCCUUGUAAGAAUUAUUUUCAACAUGGAACUUGAACUCUCGAAGAGAUAACAGGAAAAGACAUAGACGGCUGACUGAGUCUGACUGAGAGAGAAUUAAGAGUGUCAGAGAAAAAAGAAGAACAUGGCUUAGAAGUUAGAAUCAUCAUCCAUUUAUCUCAUUUAAUUGUCGGUGUAAAUGUCUUAAUAGAAGAAACAAAUAUUAUUUUGAAGGGUAAAUGUAAACAAAUUAAAAUAUUAGAUAAAAUUGUGUCACAUUUAUAUUAAGUGCGUUUAUUAAGAUUUAAGAGAGAGUUGCCAGGAUACAGCACUGGUCAGCUCCCAGUUAAACUUGCGAGUUUGGGUUCGAGUCCCAGUCCCACAGGGAGUGAAAGUAGCUAAUCACCCUAACCAGCUGAAAUAUCAAAACAUGUUUGUAUACGCCUGCACAUUACAAGUUAAUCAUCAGAAAAGGAGGGCGCUGCUGCGAGAAACAACACAUCAUGUACUGAUUAUAAAACAUGCAGAACUAAUGUAUUUUACCAACCACAAAACCUUUUUUUUUUUAGAGAUAAUCUCUCCAUAGCAACAAUAAAUAUGAAAAAAAAAAUUACCACAAAGUAGAACAGUCCCAUCUUUUUUUCCAAACAAAUACAACCAUUUCAGUUCAUAUCUAAUCUGAGAACCAUUCUACUUUCAAGUUUCAACCAAUGAAAUAACCAUAUUAUCAAUGAAAUAACCAUAUUAUAAAAAUAAUCAUCUUUUCUGGUUAAGUGAUUUCGUCAGCAAAUAAGAGAAAAUAGAAAUUCUGGAAUAUACCUAGGGUUUCUAGAUUUGGGAAUUUACCUAAUGAGAAAUCAGUCUCUCUGUUUCGAGAUUUGUAACUAUCAUGGCCGAGCGACCACGAUCACCUGAGAUAAUCGGAUUUUGCACCGGCGACGAUGCAAAUGUUUGGGUUUGACGAUAGACGAAGGAAUGUUAGGGCUUUGGGUGAUUUAAGGAUUUUAUUUAAUUCAAGUAAAGUGAAAAUAACUAAAGUAUCCCUAAGUUGGUUACGCAUUUUGAUGUCCAGAAUAGUUAAUUAAAUUUCUACUCGUGUAUUUAUGGUAUGCAUGAGUUACUUUCUCAACCGUUAGUGUGGAGACAAACGAAAGCAGGAUAAAGUUCG